rnacentral:lncRNA from 1 species
AAAAAAAAAUACAAGAUUUCCUAUCACAUCUUGGUGUAAAUAAAAAUAUUAUUAUGGAUGAAUCCAAAAAAUAAAUGAAGUAAAAGGUGGUCGAUACAAUUGAUUUUUCUAGAUAAAACUGGAAAAGCGUGACAGUCGAAUAAAAAAGAUUGGACACAUAUACAAUUGAGACAUAUUAAAAGUAAACAAAGCAGGAUUUUAAUGGGAGGAAACUGCAAAUGAAGGUAUCUGAUUUUUAAGAUUUUAAACAAAAUGAAGCAAUCAUUUAUUUAUUUCACUUUUUUGAGGUGUUUAUGAUUUUUAAACAAUGACGAGUGAAGACAUUUUAGGUGAACAAAUAAAAGCAGGUGUAAAAUUGAAUAUUGAUACAGAUAACAGACAAGAAACGUUCUUACCUUCAAAUAUCCAGACAGACAAAAGUAUUACGUAAUCUGUCAAUGUCUGGUUAUAAAAAUAGGCAAACUAAGGGAGACUACUCGUGUUUCCUUGCAAUUAUUUUAAAUGAACCGAAGAAACAUUAUGAUCAAUGUAAGUAACUAUGUCAAACUACUUUUAUUUGCAGUCAUCUCAUUGAUUUUUGAUAUCUUUUUUUAAAUAUUUUAAUUUAUUCUGAUAAUAUUAAGCAUAUACACAGAUGCUAUACAUGAGGUGCUUCGCUUCAUAUCAAAACACAUAGGGAUAUUGCUAAGAUUCAAAGAAAGAAAUGAAACAUAUUUUACAUUUUAUGCUAAUUCCCUUGAUUCCCUUUUUCUGGCAUUUUGAAAAUUACAAAACCUCUAGCUUGUCAUGAUACUGUUAAAACAGUAUUUUUUUUUAUUGUUAAAUGUUAAUAAGAAAAGGUUGUUUACUGGAAACUGAAAAAAAAAUACAUUGAAGUAUGUAAUGUCUUCGUACAGGAUCUGUUAGACUAUAUAUAUUUAUAUAUAUUUUAUGCAUAUCAUUAGCAUCUCUUCUUAUGGUCACUAUGCCACCACUUCCACAUUUAAAGAAUUAUGAUAUAUAUGACUUUUUAUUAGUCUUGCUUUUGAUAAUAGUUUAUCCCUUUAGCUCUUAUCUUCCAAUGUGAAGAACAAAAGUCUGUCUAGGAAAUAUCCUUGCUAGACAUGACUACAUCAUUUAAAAUUAAUUCAAAAUUUUCGUCUGAGACUAUCUGUAUAUGAUUCACAAUUUUUCUAUUAUGCCGGGAAAUUCGUCAUGAUUCAUCCUUUUAAUUGGUUUUUCUUCAAAAGCCUAUAAAUUUCAGUUUGUGACAAAACGAUAAUACUGUAUUUUCAGUUUUAAAAUGUCCAUGGAUCAAGGAUAAGGGUGUUUAUAAAUAGUUUUUAUUAAAAAAUUAAUUGUAAAUUAUAUUCAAUACAAAAGACCUCUCCACUUAAAAAGUAAAAUUCAAUAUUUGUAUGCAACUUGAAUGUCAAGGAUGUUCAUCUUAGCAACAUGGAGACAUCAAACAUGACCUCUGUGUUUACUCUGUUUCUAUCAUUGUCCUUUGUCUUUUAUAUAUCGGCACGUUGCAUGCAGAAGUAUUCAGUGAGUACACUUGAACAAUGAUAUUAAAAGGAAAAAAAAUAUGCUUAAAAUGCGAGAACAGAUUUAUACAAGUUGUACUAUAAUACUCCAUUACUCGUUUGAAGGGAAUAUGAUUUGAAUGAUACCACUUGGGUUAUAAAAAGAAAAAUGUUUUCAGAAAUACAAAAACAAUAUUUAUUGACAAUAAGAAAUGACGAAGACCUAUUUUUUCUGCAAAAAUAGUUCACGAGAAAGUAAGAACAGGUGCGUCGGUAUGCUUCUAUCAAACCCUGCAUUUCUCUGUUCUGCAAGUUCUUUUCAGUCGAUUAAAGGGUAAUUUCUAAAAAGGGACCAGAUGUCAAGGGAGCAAAUAUUUACAGCAGGCAAAGCAGUCACCCUAUGUUGAUUGCUAUACUUUUGCACUUAAUAGAGCAUUUAAAUAGUCUUCCAAUUCCACCCUACUUAGGAGAGCAAUUGUAUGUUCUACCUUUCGACUUUAAAAUUAUUGUAUUUAUCACUAUACAACAAAUACAUAUAAGUCUGCUCCAUAUCUUGACUUACCUCUAGACAUUGACAAUGAGGAUUGGUUGAGAACAAAUCAUUUCUACAAACAAAAUGAUUUCAGCUUCUCAAUUGUGAACUUUCCAUUUUUUAUGUAGUAACAUUUCAGCAACGCUUGUAUAUAUAGUAUAUAUCUCUUAGCUGAUACAAUAUGUCAGAGAUUGAUAAAGCGUUGCUGCUACCGAAUUAGACUAUUUACCGGAUGUGUUAUAACAUGAGCCACACGACGGGUGUCACAUGUGGAGCAGGAUCUGCAUACCCUUCCGGAGCACCUGAGUUUACCCCCAGGUUUUGGAGGGGUUCGUGUUGCUUAUUCUUUAAUAUUCUAUGUUGUGUCACGUGUAUUAUUGCUUGUUUGUCUUUUUCAUUCUUAACCAUGGCGUUGUCAGUUUAUUUUCGAUUUAUGAGUUUGACUGUCGCUCUGGUAUUUUUCGCCCCUCUUUUAAAAGGAAGCUAUCAAACCAAGUGUCCAAGGUGAUGAAAUUGAUAUCCUCCAUUCAAUAAAGUGACGAACACAAUCACGAUUUGCUUUGCUGAUAUUUCACAAAUUACAAAGUAUAUGUCUAAUUGUCGUUACCACACUCCAUUCCUCUAUUUAACGAAUCUAACCUACAAAAUUAGACUUAUUACCUAUGUUGUACUUAUAUAAGCAGUACGACAGGUGUAUUAUAUAAAGCAGGAUCUGCUUACCUUUCAUGAUUACCUGCGAGCUUAUCUUGUUUUGGCGGGGUUUGUGUUACUCAGUGUUUUAUUUUUCUAUGUUGUGUUUUGUGUACAGUUUUUUGUCUAUUGGUCGAUGAUAUUUUUUUAUCAUAAAAUUGUCAAAUUAUUUUCGAACUAUUGACUAUAAUAUCCCUUUGGUAGUAGUUUCAACAUAUUUCAUUUGGAAAAGGAGCAACAGGAUUGUACAUAAGUUAUUACAACAUUAUAUUUACGUCAUCUCCACAUACAAGUUAUUACAAGAUUAUAGUGACGUCAUCUCCACACACAAGUUAUUACAAAAUUAUAGUGACGUCAUCUCCACACACAAGUUAUUACAACAUUAUAGUGACGUCAUCUCCACAUACAAGUUUACACUCAAACUACAUUAGAUAAAACAUGUAGGAAUGUAUGAAAUACAAAAUACAAAAAAAAAAAUAAAUAAAUAAAAAACAAAAAAUAAAAAAUAAAAAAUAAAAAAUAAAAAAUACAAGAUAAAUGAAGUAUAUGAUGAGACUGGAAUGACGUGAUGAGUAAACAAGUAGGAAUUCAGAUAGAAUGUUCUAAAUCUUUGAGUUAUUCUUAUAUAAGGUUGUACAAACUAAACAAUUUCUUUAUUUUGUUAAUAUUAUUGGUCACCGUCACCAGCCAUUAUUAGCACAAUUGAUAAAGCAUAUAUUUCAAUUUAAAAACAUCAUUUCUCUUACUUCUUUGUGAAGGGCACUCGAAAGAAAAGUGAUUGCUAUCGUCCCUUUUGUACAACUUUUGCCUCUCUUUGCGGAAAGUCUACUAAUUUCACCUUACUUACGAUAUUGUACCAUUGACUUUAAUCAUGAGAGGAUUUAUUUAUAUUUUCUUUUUAUAAUAGUAUUAAUGAGUAUUUACCUUUUAACAUCAAACGGGAAAGCUUUUAGAUAUUUUGUCUGUUGGGCCUUAAUUUUGAGAGCAAAACAAUGAUCUACCCUUUGACUAACUUUAAGAUAAUCAAUUAAAAUAACACAUAUAGCAGUUAGUAAGUUAUUCGAAUAUUGGACAUUACUCCGAUGGAUCAGGAUAUUAUCUUUGAAUCUUACUUAAAAAAUUACUCAUUUGUAUCUUUGGAAAUUGCGGUUAUCUGGAUAGGAAGAUUACAUUUACAUGUUAUAUCUAAAACUUACUUUAGGAUGUACACUUGUGAGGAGCCAAUAUCUUUUAGAAUUAAACUCAUUUCCUUAACCAAAUUUUUCGUGUAUAUUUCUGUAAAAAAGGUAAAUGAUUAAGAAAAAAUCAUAUGGUGCUGCACUUCUGUUUUUGCUAUGGACAUUUGAAUGUAUCCUUUUUAAUGAUUUACCAAUUUUUCAUAAAUUUGAACCAAGUUUUGGGCUAUUUUCAUGAAAAAAAAAAUACCGUUUCACAAUUUUUAUUCAUACCUUCACUGAAGAUCUGAAUAAAUUCAAUUAAAAAAAACAAUAUUUAGUUUUUCUUGUCAAAUUGACCAUGCUGUUCAUGUUGUAAAUUAGGAAUUUUUUCUUCAGAAAAAAACCUCAUUAAGAGAGCAAAACAGUGUAUGUCCUCAACAUUUGCUACGUUGCGACAUGUCUCACGAAAGUAUUAAGAACCUUUGUUUGUGAACAUACCGGUUUUCAAAAGUCAUAAAUUGAUUGAGAGAAAACAAAUCUAGGUUACAAACUAAAACUGAGGGAAACAUAUCAACUAUAAGAGGAAAACAACGAAACAACAGAACACUGAAGAGCAACAAAAAAAAAAAAAAACAAACGACAAUACAACAUGAAUAGAAACGAUAUGUUAGAUAACAAAUGCCAUAUUCCUAACUUGGUACAGGACAUUUUAAUAAAAAAAAAAAUGGUUGGUUGAUCCUGGUUUAAUGGCUAGCCAAAACUCCGCGCUUUAUAAUAAUGUUAAAUAUACCACUAAAAUGAUAUUAAAUAACAGGACUACAGUACAAAUAAAGAGUAAAAUAACUCUUAUUUAGAAAGACAUUGUCAAAGCUUAAUUGAGGUCUGGAGCUUGAUGUCAGUAACUGCCAGUAGUCUAUGUUCAUUUAUGUAUCAUUGUCACUUUGUUUAGUUUCUUUUGUUACCUGUUCUUAUAUCAGACUUGGGCUUCUUUCAAACUGACUUUUACUGUGCGAAUUGUUGUGUGUAUGUAUUUCUACAUUGGCUUGAUGUAUAGGGGGUAGUUGAGGUAUAAAAAAAUAUGUUUAACCCCGCGGCUUUUUUGCGCCUGUCCCAAGGGGAUUUUCUCGCUGUAUUGAAGACCCAUUGGUGUACUUCGGCUAUUUUCUGCUCUUUUUUUUCGGGUUGUUGUCUCUUUUACACUUUCCCCAUUUCCAUUCUCAAUUGUAUUGGCAAUUUCUUUUCUCUCCAACUGUGUUUAGGCUGUGAUGUCGUUGAUACAAUUUAGCAUUAUAAACAAUAAGAGGUAUACGAAAAUACGUGCUAUCUAGAUCUUUUAACACACAAUUGUUAAUUCAUGAAAAAUACAUUGUUGUCCAAGCAGACAAAUCACAUUACAUAAACUGCUUGAUAAAGGAAAUAGCUAUAGGUAUUGACAAUAUAUUUCGAUUUUUCACAUAUACCCCCGUGACAGAAGAACAGAUGAAGAAUUUGACUUUUGUUCACUUUAUUAGAUACCUAAAUUGCAGAAGGCUCUUACAGAGAAAGUUAUGUUGCUUGAUUACUUACUUCAAAUUGUUAAUUUACCAUUUAUAUGUUGCAAAAUAACUUCUGCUCUUGCAUAUGAAGUGAAUAUCCCCUGCUCCCCGCGCGUUGAUGAUUCCUUGUGGUAAAGUUGCCACAAUUUUACGAACGAAUCCCUAAGUUGGUUAACAUUUAUAGACAAUCUUUUGUAUAGAUAACGAUGGAUAUGUUACAAGUGUCUUUACCAAAAUACCGUCCCGUAUACUAUUGCCUUUUGGUCGGUUUUUUUUUUGUGUUUUUUUUUAUGGCGUUCUAUGUUUGUCUUAGAAUUAUAAAUAUUACACUACUGUGACGGUUGGUACCUAUUAAAACGUUUAAACCUGCUGCUUUUGUGUGUACCUAUUCCAAGUCAGGAACUCGAUGUUCAGUGGUUGUUGUAUGGUGCUGUGGUUCUCUUUUCUCGCCUUUUUAUAUAUAGAUUAUUCCGUUUAUCCUGUUUGAAUGGUUUUACACUAGUAUUUUUAGGACCCUUUAUAGCUUGCAGUUCAUUGUGAGCCAAAGCUGCGUCUUGAAGAACGUACCUUGACCUAUAAUAUACUUUUACAAAUUGUGACAUGGAUGGAGAAUUCUCAUUGGUCUUCAUAACACAUCUGGUUAUGAAUAUUCCUUUAGUGUCUUCCGUCUCUCUUUUGGAGGAUAACUAACUUAGCAGUCUUUUUAUUAGCUGGCCCUGGACCUUACAUAGAAGUCCGGAAAAGAGAAUGGAGGAUGUUACAAUAUGACUUACUGAGAUUACCAAAGGAUUUCUACGUUUGAAUUUGAAGUUUAAUUUUACCCUCUUGGUCUACUGUUUGAAAGUCCCUUAUCAAAUGGUAAAGUCAAAAGCUCAAACAUAUCAAACGAAUGGAAAAAAAAAACUGUCAUCUUCCUGAUUUGGUACUUCUUACGUAGAAAAUGGUGGACUGAACCUGGUUUUAUAGUUAGCUUAACCUCUCACUUGUAUGAUAGUCGCAUAAAAUUCCAUUAUAUUGACAAUGAUGUCUGAAAAAAACAAACAGACAUUAUUUUUUACUUAGAUAUAAGGGUAGUGAACCGAUGUUUAGUGUAGAAAAUAGACGAACAACUGUAUUUAAUCAACUACUUAUGAACUACGAACCUGAUUUGAGUUUUCACCUUACAUAUUAGAGCUUCCGAAUAUUUGUUCUUUAAUUUUGCAGUUAGUCUGUCAAUGUUAUUAUGAGUAAUUAAAUUUUCGGGAAUUGUUUAAGUGAGUAAACUGCUCUUUUUUCACCUUAUCGGAUCUUUAUCUAAUACAAUGGAAACAAAGUACUUUAGAGCCGGUUCAGUAUAAAUCAGACAAGAGAAGCACUACAUUUUAUAUUAUCUGAGAAACAGAUAACAAAACACAGGAGUAAGCAAAACAAAAAUAGAAAAUAUCCUAUCAUAGAAUUCUGAUAAUUAGUAAAAGCAAGCUUGUAGUACUAAACCUGCUGAUAUGAACGUCUGAAAAAUCAACUACAUAUUUUGCGAAGAAAACAUUUGAAUAUUGUGUCGUAGUCAUAAUUAAUAUACCACUUGCGUGAGGGUAUUAAGAAGAUAUCAAGGAGUAAACAACUCAAAGUAUUGCCACAAACAGAGAGUAAAAGUAUACAGAUAUGAAACACUUGUUUGUAAUUGUAAAUUGUCAAGAAUCCUCAACCUAUAAGCCAAAAAGCGUUCACAAAGAUCAGUCACUUUAAUGUAUGAUCAAUGUUACCUGUACACAUUGCAACCUUACUGUACCUGCAAUAACGUAACUAGAAAUCUGAAAUCUCAAAGGAACAUAGACUAGACUGUUGGUUUUUCCGUUUGAAUGGUUUUACACUAGUAAUUUUGGGCCCUUUAUAGCUUGUUGUUCGGUUUGAACCAAGGCUCCGUGAUGAAGGCCGUACAUUGACCUAUAAUGGUCUUUUAUAAAUUGUUAUUUGGAUGGAGAGUUGUCUCAUUGGCACUCACACCACAUCUUCCUAUAUCUAUGUAUCAUUUAAAUUUUACAAAAUAGCACUGUUUGCUGUCUGUGUGGUAAAAUCUGGUACCGACAGUACUCCAAUAUCGUCAUUGACCAUUAUGUUAUAAAUAACAUCCAAGUUAUCAGCAGAAGUAUGUAUGACAUCAAUUAACUAUACAAUUGAUUAAGUACCAUCCCUGUAUUACUUUCUAGAAACUCACUUCCUGAAGCUGGAACCGCAUUUGAAUAUUACAAGUGAAUGCAAAUUAUAUCUCUUGUUUGGAAGUAUGCUGGUGUAAAUACUAGUUUGAGCAACAGUGAGAAGUAAAUAGAAGACAAUGUGUUACUUUACAAACAUUUGCAGCUUUAUAAUCUAGUUUAAAAAACAAAAUAUUUAGAAAUUUUACUAUUACUAUUACUAUUACUAUUUUAUUUAUUAACUGAAUAUUAUAUUUAAAUCUGGAGGAAAAAAAAACAAUUGAUGAUUGACUCUUUAUUGAGACUCAUUGCGACGAAGAAAUCUGCUUCUAAUUAUAAAUUUAAAGUAAAAUUGAUGAUUCCGGAAAAUACAGACAAGAAAACAAUCUCUAAACAAAAAAUCAACCGAGAGUUCAGCCGUAUAGGAUGCAUUUUGGAGAUAAAAAUGGUCUGCAAACAUUGAAAGCGUUUCAUACCAAAAAAGUUCAAUCAAUUUAUGUAUGAAUUCAUUUAAGACUUGUUAUAAGCUGAUAUACCAUGUUUUAUUUGCUUCUGACGUGACUCUGUUCGAUUGAUUUUUAUAGAUAUGUUUAAACACGAAAUCUUGUAAUGAUCAUCAAAGAUAUGAAUUUAGGAAUUCAAGAAAUAAUUAUUUCUAAGUGUUAAAUUUGGUACCUCGAAAAUUAAUUUCUGAUUGGAAGUCAAAGAGAGAAUGAAGACCAUGUUACAUUCUUGGACAUGAAUACUUUAAUUUUUUCACUGAUAAUGCCCAAAAUAAUUAAUAGCAUUCUCCUGAUGAAAACGUUUACUUUCACAUUAAAUUGGGAGCCUGGUACAAAUAAAAACGUAGACGGCAGACUUUAAAUCGUACUGAAAUGCAUACACCUAUACACAAGGAGGAAUUAAUCAAAUCUCUUGUCAUCCAAAAUUUCAAUCUAUUCUUCUUUUUGCCUUGUCACAACUUGCUAAUUAUGACAACGAUUACCAACCUCGGCAAAUUUGAUAAAAAUGUACUAGUCUCUCUACCUACUAACAACAGGAUAUUGAAUGGUCUGCCAAGUGUAAUGAGAUCCCCUUUGUAUAUAUUAAUUUCUUUAAAGUAAUACAACGAAUGGCUCCUAAAUGGCUGGAUACAAGUUUCCCAAAUCUGUAUCCCCAAUGUUAAUUCAUUUACAAUUUCAGCAUCAGUAAUGUUUGUUUCUUAGAUACGUUUGAAUUGCCUAUUUUUAUUGUUUGCAUCUGUUGCAUUGAGUUGCCUUGUAUUUAUCGUUUGUUACAUUACAGUUGCCUUGUAUUUGUCUUUUUUGUUUGUUUGUCAAAUAUAAGUGGUAUCAGCAUUUAUGGUUGGUUCUUUAUUGUUUGUCAGAUAUAAAUGACAUCAGUACUUUUGGUUGGUUCAUGUUUGUUGAUAAUGUUUGAGUUGAACUGUCGCUAUUUAUUUUUUUGGUGUUUGUUUGUUACAUUUAAUUGUUCAAAUUAAUUGGCUUUUUUUAUAUUGUUCAUUCUUGUUUUUUUACUUUUACUUUUUGUUUGUGUUCCUUUGUUACGUUUGCAUAACUGGACUUGUAACUUAGAAAUUUUUACAAUUUCAUUGUUCGUGUUCAUUUACGCGAAGAUGGCUGUUUUAGGGGCAUUUAUUAGAAGAAGAAAAACUAUCUCACCCCUCUUAUAUGCCUUUGAUAUUUAUGGAAAUUAUUUCAGAUGAAUGAUUGGACGUUGUUAUAGGGUAAAUGUUAUUUUCGCGUGUCAUUUUCUGGUGACCACUUUUCUUAACAAGUUUUACUAAUGCUUUAAUAAAUAAGGUGCAUUUUUAUUCACAUCUCCUUUUUGUGAUCAUUAAAAUACAGGUUUUGUAUUAGGUUAUGGUGGGAAACAGGAUGUUUCAAAGGUUGGAAUAGUCGAAAAAAAAUAUUAUUAAAAUUCUAUUCUUAAGUUUACAGGAAAAAAUGCAGAAAUGCAUCUUUUUAAAGAAUGUAUUAUUUUCUAAUGAAGGUUCGUUCUUAUCUUCGUUGGAAAAACCAAAAAGUCCAAAAAGAUAUGACAAACCAGGCUAAAGCUGUCUGAGAAUUAGUAAGGCAAUGAGCUUUUAAUUGUUUUAUGGAUAUUCGUCAUAUAUUGAAAUACCAAAAGACGACUAGAAGUCACUAUACGGUCUAUUGAUCCACACGUAGUAGGAGCUGCUUAUCCUUUCCGGAAUACGCAUGGGCUUUGUUCAUUGUUGAAGGCCGUACGAUGACCUAUAGUUGUUAAUGUCUGUGUCAUUUUGGUCUCUUGUGGACAGUUGUCUCAUUGGCAAUUAUACCACAUCUUCUUUUUUGUAUUUGAUUCUUGAAUUUUGGUUAAGUUCAUGUUGCUUUGUCUGACAUAAGACGUUUUGUCCAGUGUUCAUUCAUUUUUGUUUACUUGUGUACUUAUAUUUUAUUUAAUUCGUAAUCUAUCGAGUAAUUAUCAUACGCUACUUUUUUGGCUAUUGUACAGUAUGUCUGUGAGGUAUGUGAUUAAAAUUCUGGCAAUUACUGCCACAUUUAAUUUUUUUUACGAGUAGCAGGUUUCAUUAGUUUUUGAACCAUUGUUAACCCAUAAUUUGUUUCUUUGAGUUCGUUCUUUGUUGUACUUCAUGAGGGAUUUGUGAGCUUUUUAUGAGUUAUUGUUUUUCCCUUUCGUAGUUGCUUUAUAUGUUUGUUACGCUACUGUUGUUUUUUCGUAUAAUGUAGAAUAACAAAAAUACCGAAUUCCGACGAUAAUUCCAAACGGAGAGUUCUUUAGCAAAUGGAAAAAUUACAAGCUAAAACACAUCAAAUGAAUGAAUAACAACUGUCAUAUUCCUGACUUUGUAAAUGCAUGUACGUAUUAGAAAAUGGUGGAUAAAACCUGGUUUUAUAGCUUGCUAAACCACUCAAUUGUAUGACAGCCGCAUAAAAUUCCAUUAUAUUGACAACGAUGUGUUAUGAUUUGUCUCCUACCUACUAGAUAACUAAAUAAUACACUAUUCAAAAUUUAAAAUUGGUAUUUUUGAAUUGCUUCCAUAAAAAUCAGAGAUCGCUUUAUACAAAAAGAACGUUUCGUUAUUAUAUAAGACAUGUAGAUAUGGUCUUAUUGUAAAUUAAAUAACUAUGACCACAACCUAUCAAAUAUAGUAUGGCAUAAAAGACCCGGAUAUGAAAAACCAAUGGCCUGAUUUAUUUAUAUAACAACAAAUGAGACAGCACCAACCACAAACACUGAACUAUAGGCUCCUGUCUUUGAACAGACAAAUGCCGAAUAUGGCGUCGAUAAAAAUAUUUCGAAUGUUGACCUAGCAUAGGACAUUAAUGAAACAUGAAACCAUCUUUUAAAAAAAACGAUCAAUAGAACUUGACUCAUCAGAUCGAAACAAAGCACGACAAACGUACAGAUACAAAGUACCGAUCUAAGAGUGCUCGCAGUGUGCCCGUAUUUUUAUUGUCUAGACCAGUGGGCGAUUUUGAUGUCGACAUAUGGUAUAAACUGUAGAUACCAUAUGUUGCUGUCUAUAUCACCUGCGCAUUCCGUUUGAUGUUUAUAAAAUAAUGAUUGUUUUCACACCCACUUUUGUCUGAUGUGUAACUGGACUGUUUAUUUGUAUAGAUAUUCAUACCAAAAUAGUGGGUUGAAUCACGUUUUGUUUUUGUGGAGCAAACAUCUUUUUGACAGAACUUUAUAGUUACAGAGAAACGAUGCUUCACAAGCAAAAUCUCAUACUCCAAAUCAGAUACAUCAAAAUUUUCAAAAUAAGAGACUGUGCGUUGUGUUCGAAACAACAUGUUAUAAGGGAUAUCUGAAAUUCUCUAAAAUGGAUUAAUGUGAAAAUCUUGUUAGUAUCCAAGCACAAAAUGAAUCGUCCGUCGUCAACUCGAGAAGCAUAACUCUCUUACUAAGUUUAAUAAAAAUAAUUCUACUGACCAUUUAGCUUAGCAACAUUGCUGUCACCAUAUGAGAUAUCAAAAUUAGUUAGUUGUAAACGUAUCUAUUUUUGCCAUUCGAUAGGGACUUUCCGUUUUGAAUUUUUCUCGGAGUAUUUUUGUGAUUGUAAUUUUUAAGGCUUUGGCUUUAAAUGUUUUCGUAGCUCUUCAUCUUUUAGUAAGCUACAAAGUAAGUUAUGAAUAUUAAGGCCUCGAGCAUCACUGAAAUAAAAAUGAUUAUCAAAAUGCGAAUCUGGUGCAGGGAAAAUUGAUACCGUAUAUGUUAUAAACUUAUUCUCCAACAAUUGUGUAUUAGUUUUACUUAAUAAUUGAUAAGAAAUGGCGGAGAAGAGACUUUUUUUUUUAAUUUAAUAUUCAAUUCACGAGGACACAACUAAACUGACUAACUGCAAAUAUUGCAUUUCUUUCCAAAUUGUAAAAUAGCGAGAAAGAAUAACAAAAAUAAUUUGGAAUUAUUUUCCUUCAUUUCCUCCAACUGAUUCAUUUUUUUUUUAAAGUUUACAAAUACAUUGAUAUAUUUUUUGCUUCUAAAAACACAAUAUAAUCUCAGAAGAAAACCUGGACAACUCUAUCCUAUUCAAUAUAACCGUUCUUUGAUUUUUUCUUUAAAAAAUACAUGGCACACUAAGGUUUAUGACAUGUUGACUGGGUUUUGCAAUCAUUUCAAAUAUUUUUACUAAUAAAAUGCGUUUUAUGAUUUUAAGAUGUGACUUAUUACUUUGUGAAUAUGCUAGUUGUUGUCAACAUUUAAAAAAGAAGAUGUGGUAUGAUUGCCAAUGAGACAACUAUCCACAAAAGACCAAAAUGACACAGACAUUAACAACUAUAAGUCACCGUACGGCCUUCAGCAAUGAGCAAAGCAGUCCGUUUCUAUGUGUGUUGAUGUUUGCUUUUGUUGUAGUUAAGUAUUUCUGUUGUUCCGUUGUUUUCUUUUUAUAGUUGAUGUGUUUCCCUCGGUUUAAGUUUGUUAACCGGAUUUGUUUUGCUAAAUCGAAUUAUGACUUUUGAACAGCGGUAUCCCACCGUUGCCUUAAUUUAUAGAUUAAAUGGGUCCGGUGUAUUCUAUUGUUUUUGCAACAUUUUGUAUUUUGUCAAACUGUUAUUUCACAUGUCACUGUAAUACAAAUUUACUUAUUACGUGUUGUGUUUAAAACUUUUCAUAUCUUGCCACUUAUAGUUAUAGGCAUCUCAUCCGAUUAUUUCUAUAGAUUAUCAGAAAGGAGUAGGUCCGGUAAGAGCCUAUUUUGGCCUCAAAUUUCAUGUUCGUCCGAUGAAAUAUUUUGGACACUUUUUAAACACGUAAGUGUCUAUUUCAGUCAAAUCAAUUAUUUUAUGUUAAAGAUUUGAAAUAAUUAAGUAAUUUAAGACGCUCAAAUGCUAGCUGCUGAAAUAUGAAAAAUCAAUCACAAAUGUCAUAAUAUGUCAAUUUUCAGAUGUUUAUUGGUCAAAAUUGGAAGUGGUCGUACCUUGUUUACUCUCAACCUUUAUAUAUGUUAUGUAUUAUGGCCACAUCCAUUUAAUACGGAAACCGUCUAAAAUCUAACUCAAAUGCUAAAAUUAUGAAGAUUCCAGUAAUUCAGCAUGAUUUUAAGAUGCUAGUACCCGAUGUAUGUCCAUUGUAUUGUGAAAAAUAGCCCAUAUUUAUGUAGCAGAAGUAUUCGACUUUCCAAUAACUUGCUUAAAUUUCACAUUUUAACAAUUUUGUAAAACUGCUAUAUUUUGGGGCCAACAAGGGGUCUUACUGAGCCUAGUCCUUUGUCAAAUUGGUGAAAUAAUCUUUGUAUAGGUAUUCUUGUUUUCUAAGCAAUACUUAGAUACUGUAAACCAACUAAUUUUUACGAGCGAUUGAAUUUCGCGACUUUCGCGAGUAGAAAAAUAACGCAAAUAUAAAUCGUCGCGAAUAUGUAGAUCUUGGAUCUAUCCUUAUGUAAUUAUAUCGACUAGAUAAGAAAAUUGCGAAAUUAAAUCGACGCAAAGUGGACUAGGAAGAGUUAAACGCGAAAUAAGUAUCCGCGAAAAUAAGUUGGUUUACAGUAUUGAAUGACACUUACUAACGUUCAGCGCCAAGUCAAGAAAAUGGCAGUUGUUAUCUAAUAGUUUGUUUCUAUAUAAAUCGUAUUGUCGUUGCUGUUUGUUGCGCUUUUGUGUUCUGUUGUUUUGUUGGUUUCCUCUUAAAAUUGAUGGGUUUCCCUCGGUUUUAGUUUGUUACCCGGAUUUGUUUUCUCUCAAAUAAUUUAUAACUUUUGAACAGCGGUAUACUACUGUUGCUUUUAUUUAAAAAAAAAAUAAAAAUAACCACAAUAUCGAACUCCAUGUUACGCGGAUUUUUUUUCUCUCAAUCGAUUUGUGACUUUUGAACAGCAGUAUACUAAUGUUGCCUUUAUUUACUACUUUGUGUACACGAAGUAGGUGAAAUGCUAUCAUUUGAUUCUUAUUUCAAACCGUGUUCAUCUCACAAUGAUCGACAAAACAUCUAUUGGUGAAAUCAAAUGUAUAACUCUAGUCAUCGAUUGAAAAAAAAAAAACAAAUAACCAGCACUAGAGGAAUACCAUAUGAAUUACAGAUAUAAAAUAGUGGCCGGGUACAAAAACAAUAAAGUUUAGCAUAUACACCUACUAUGAAUUAAAAAGUAGGAUUUUCAUUUAUGGAUAUUAGUAGUAAGUAUAACUUUUAAGGAUUAUGAAAAUAAUCAUAAAACAGUAAUGAUUUGUAUUGAUAUAAAUAAAUUCAUCAUAUGUACAAGGACUGAAAUUUUAUAUAACGCCAGACUCGCGUUUCGACUUAAAAAGACUCAUCAGUCAAGCUCGAAUAAACCAAUGAUAACAAGGCCAAAUAAAGUACGAAGUUGCAGAGCAGUGAGAACCAAAAAUUCGUAAAAGUUUUGCUAAAUACAGCUAAGGUAAUCUAUGCUUGAGGUAGAAAAACCUUAGUGUUUCAAAAAUUCAAAGUUUUGUAAACAGUUAAUUUAUAAUUAUGACCAUAUCAAUGAUAAUUCAUGUCAGCACAGAAGUGCUGGUUUUAUUGUAAUAUGAUCACUUGUUUCAUUUCUUCUAACGAUAUGACUUGAACAAUUUAUAAAGUAGACAUAGAAAAAUAUACAGAUUAUACUUCAAAACGUUAUUAUAUUAUAACAUAUUGUCAUGAAGAAGUACAACUCCUUGUUGCAUCUUGGAAGACAAUAAUCAUGAAAAAGCGUUUUGUGCUGUUAUGUCGACCAAUUAAAGAAACCGAUAUAGCUUCAAAAAUCAAAAUGAAUCCUUACAAAAAACUCGUUUAAUUCAGAUAAAUGGAAUGCAUUAAAGUACAUGUAAUAUCAAGUACAUAAAUUGUUGAUAAUCAAAUAAUGCAUUAUCGGUCACUGUAUUUGCACGACUGAACAAAUUUUUUUAUAUAUUUUUUAACGAAUAAGAUUACAGAUUUGUUGAGAGAUGUCGCCUUAAAGUGUUCUCUUCAUAGUCAUAUUGGCCUUAUAACAAGGCCCACAACUAGUUUUAUCCAAUAGUGAUUCUUAUAUUCAAAUCAAAGCGAGAAUAGCAUAAAUAGGUGAGAAUCCCACACCUAUAGGUGUGCUUCAGCUGGAACCAACAUUUUAAACUGUCUAUAAAAUGUUAAAGACACACGCUGGAAAUUUUCACAGAAAAGGGAAGUUACCAGCGAUUAAAUGAGGUCAUCGAAUUUUUUUCAUUUAGUUCUAUGUACAUUCAUCGGUUACCCUUUAUCAUCUUUUGAAUCAGAGAUAUAACUCCUAGUGGAAACAUUUCAACUUAAUCGUUAAUGAUACAAGUCGUGAUUCUUUAGCUUUGUAGACUGAAGAAAUAUUUCCAAAAUAUGAUAGAAAACCAAUUUCUACAACGACCUUUUUAUCUUGUUCUGUCAAUGUAACCCCUCUGCCAAAAAAAAAUAAUGUAGACUACAUCAACGGUUUCUUAAUCUGUCUUAUUUUGGCAACUACAUCUGUACAUGUCAGGAUCCCAUCAUGGUGAUUCUUGGCUAUGUAUUAAUAACGUUGUUGUCUUACUCAUCUAACUCUGUAAUGAGUCUAUGCAGUUCUGUGGUCAGUGAUCAGGUGGUUUAAGUAGGUACUACUGUAAUCACUAGCCAUUCAACACUGAGGUUGUGAGUUUGAACCCCACUCGUGCAAGUAGUGCACUCGAUUCCAUAUCUAAAUUGACUAGGAUUGUCAGUUUUCCUAUUGAAGGUCGAUGGAUUUCUCCGGCCAUUCCGGCUUCCUCCGCAAAUAGAAACUUGCCGCCACGAAAAAGCCAAAAAGAAGUGUUUAAAAGAAGCGUUAAAACACCAAAAAUUUAAAAAAUAAAUCUAAGUCAAAUGAACCGAGGUUCUUUUUUUAACAAUGGUCGGAAAAUUAGUGUAUUAAUUGGUGUGUAUAUACUUAACUAUAAGUCUUCGGUGCUCAUUAAAAUAAUACAAAAUGAAAUAUUUUUCAUUUGGUAUGGUUUGUGGUUUAGAUUCUUUGAAAUAUAAAAAAAAAAAUUAAGUUUCUUGUUUUAUAUUUGAACCAACUGCCCUACAAAGGGCAAUGCUGGCAUAUUUUAUGUUAAAGUCUUGCAUAUUUGCUGAUUUAAUGUUCUUUAGAAUACUUUCUUUGUUGUUAAUUUUAUUCCAACAUAAUCAGUAUUGUUAAGAAAUGUAUGAUAUAUAAUUCAGUUUGAUAAACUAUGUAUCAAAGACACAUAUAAAUAGCACGAAUACAUUGAAUAUUUUAAGAUAUAUAUUACAUAAAGAAAACAAGAAAAAAAGAACAAUAAUCAGUGUUCAAACUUUUUACGACAAGUAGCCAAUUGUCCCAAUUGUAGAAAAGUUGAUACAUAUGAUGUGGCUCCGUUCUUAUACAUCCCGUUAUUGUGUUAUUGUGCUAUGGAUUUUGUUUUGCUAAUGGGAUUUGUCUUUAUGGAUUUUUGUGCUUUUUUGUUACAUAUAUGUUUGUCUUAUAGGGAUUAAGAUUAUAAUACAAUGUUGACUGCUGUACCCCUAUUUUUGAUAUUUUAACCUAUUCUGUCUGUUUGUUUUGUUCACACAUCGUUGUCAAUAUAAUGGAGUUUUAUGCGUCUUUUAAACCAGGUUUAAUCCCCAUUUUCUACAUACGAAAAUGCAUGUACAGUCAUUUAAUAGUAGUGUGGUGUCAAAUCUGUCAUUUCCUUAAUCUUAUUGUAAGACAAGUCUACUAUUCUAGUAGUUUGGAAAUUUUGUUGUGUGAUGCCUCUAGUAUCAACAAAUACUUCACGUCAUCAAGAGUGUGUUGAAGCUUUUGAUUUGUCGUUUGAUUACGGACUUUCCGUUUUGAAUUUUCCUCUGAGUUCGGUGUUUAUAAUAAUUGUAAGUAUUUGAGAAGAACUUUCAUGAUUUGACAUCAACACUUAAAACUUUUAAAAAUAUCAUUUAAACGGGUUUGGAUAAAUUCUUCUUCUUCUCAAUUAUAUCAGUUUUAUCAGUUUUCAGUGUUUCUACUAGGCUCUGAUUUUUAAUAAAAGUAAAACUUUUUUCUUAGUUUAUGAUUGCAGUCAAAUUCUUUGCCCAAAGAGUGAUGUAAAGUCUGCACUAGAACAUAAGAGAAUAUGAACAUUUAAUGAUUGCAUAAAAAUAUGUGUAUUAUGGUAAGUUAAGAGAACAAAAUUAGACUAAGCGCACUUUAACAUCACCUGAACUUUCAUUGUAGUAUUGUACUUUCCGUAGAUACAUUUGCGUAUAAACUUUAACAAAAGUUAUGUUAUUGUUUACUGUAAAGUUUUUAAAAAAUAGAAGUAAAACAUAAAGUGUUAUUAUACCUUCAAAUUCCAACUCCUGUUGUUAUUUAGGAUGGAGCAGAAGGCCAUAACAUUGAGAAGUGUUUAUACAAAUAACUACCAUAAUGAUAAUGAACCCAUCGUUAUUACGUGUGUUUAUUUUCCAGGGACAGACAGAAUAACCUGCAAAGUAUAUGCACAAGGGCAGGGUUUGUUGAUUGACGCCAAUGAAAAAAGUAAGUAGAUUAAAUUGUGGAAUAUUUUUAAAUUCAUGAGUUCUUAAAAGGGAAACUUCCUGUUAAAAGCUAGCCACAUAUCAAACUUGUUUGUUGCCUUACUUUCGCAUGAGGAUAUUUUUGCCAUUGUCGUCACCAUUUCCUGUACUGACAAUGUAUUACUAUAUAACUUUUCAUCUCCUUUAGACCAAGAUAUUCGCAGACAAUUUCUUCUGCUUUUGUUUCUUCAACACCCUUAAUGAAUCUUCGUACUAUCCCUAAGUUAUCCAUAUGCUUAAAUAUUACUUUGAGUGCUGUUAAGAUAAUUCUCUAAUUCUUACUUGAUUUAUCCUCUAUCUGACCUGUCGAUUGUUUUUAUCUAAUUAACGUGGGGUUCGUUUGACCUCAGUUCUUCAUUGGUCAAAAUUUGCUACGUACAUCAAACUUUCUUGCUUUCCUCUGAAAUCCCAAUUGUGACAUCAUGAAAAAAUGCAAUCAUAUCUGAUGACGUCACAUAGAAAGAACACAUCUUUCUGAAAGUUGUUUGAAAAGAAGGAUUAAGAUUGUCUACAUAUCAUGAAAAGCAUUAGAGAACAGAUUCCACCACGAAAAUAUCGUGCAAUCCGCUAUACUCGGCGAGCCACUCGUUUCAAAUUUGUAAUUUUGAACUUCUCGAGUGGAUAUAUAUUGUAUCAAAUUCGAUGCAGUGGUAUAACCUAUAUAGCUCUUAACUCUUAGCUUCAUUCCAUUUUCUUACGCAUCAAUAUUGACUAUGCUUCACAAAGAGGAAAUAGAGAAUGGAAAUGUUUGCAGUCUCUAUUAAUCGGUGUUAAAAUUGUUCACUCUGGUUUUUGUUGUAUAAGUCAAUUUUAUAUUAAUAAAGACAACUGUUAAAAGUCUGAUCCUUGAUAGCUGGCUCAUAAUUUGAUACACAAAAAUCAUUCGUUGGGUUUGAAUCAAGAAAGGUGAAAGGACAAAAACCUGAAUUUGAGGGACAGGAAAUGUCUACCAGUCUUUACAAGACACAUUAGGUGUAAAAUUUCAUCAAAGAUACCAUGAUUAUAAUACGAUAUGGCAGACGCACGUUUCAUCUUUAUGAUAUUCAUCAGCAACAUUCAAAUCUACACAGUUUGAAUGGUAACUAAGAUGAAUUUAAAGUGCAUGAACAAUCCUAAAAUAUAGUUCCCAUUUUGUAUGAUGCCAUAUAUGUCUGGGUAGAAACGACUAUUUUAAGUGUUUGAUUGAUUUCUACAUCUUAAUAACAGUAAAUGUUCAUGAAAAAAUCUUAUAAAUGAUAUAUCAGGUCAAUACAGGAGCACUGACUACUGGUCUAACAGUACCCUCCGGGGCGAAAAGUCAUCGACGAUAUCUUUCAAUAUAAUUCAAUAAGCCAGACGCACGUUGCGAGCACUGAUUUUUGGGCUGAUGAUGUCCUCUCGGAUGAGAGGUUCUUCACCUGAAAACAUAGUGUUGAUAUCUAUGACUGUUUCGUGUUUGGGUUAUGUUAUCCAUUUAUUGCUUUGAUAACUUAUAACCCGAUUGUUUAUACAAUAUUAGGUUUUCUAUUGACAAAGCUUCAAAUAAUAUUGUCCAUGUAAGUAAACGUACUACUGCGAUUGUUUAAUAAAAGAAUUAGGAAUAAAUGAGCAGUCAGAUAAUCCCAAAUACCAACAAAUUUAAGGCUGAGAAAUUCUUUAUGGCUUCAAUAAGCAUUGCAUUGAAAAGCAAAUCUGAGGAUUUACCUUGUUUGUAUUAUAUAUCUUAGCUCCACUACAUUUCUUCUAGGUACUGAUGUUGUUUAUUUUCUUAAUUACUGUGGAUUCAUUAUUAAUCGUCGGAUACCAAUUUUAUAGGAUUUCUUGUGUACUAGGAAACCAAGAAUUUAAAUGUUCAACAAAUUACAACUUUUCGAAAAGAAUAUAUGCAGACUUUGUCAAAACAACGAGAUUAAAUAAGUUAUCUUUAAUCCACAAAAAAUGGUACCCAUGAAAAUAAAUAAAUAAAAAUUAAGUGUUUUUGCGUUCCUGUUUUUUCUUUGUAAAUUAAUUACCUUUACUGCUUAAUGCAAUUUGGUAGUGUUCUUUUGGCGUUGCUCGGUGCUUGCUCGUCCCACCGGUGUGUUUUGUGCCGUGGUCAUUGUUUUGUUUUGUUUUGCUUGUCUUUCUUUUUUGUUAGUGCGCUAAAUGUUUGUUUAAUAGUGGUUAAGAUUGUAACACAAAAGGUUUAAUCCGCCAGUUCUACUUUAGGAAUGCCUGUGCCAACUCGGGAAUAUUACAGUUGUUUCCCAGCCGUUUGAUGUGAUUGAGCUUUUGAUUAGGCAUUUUAUAAGAGAAUUUACGAUUUGAAUUUUUUGUAUUUUUGUUUAUCUUAUCUUUUGCUUACUUAUAUCGUUUUAAAACACAUGUGAACUGUGACUAUUAAGAUAUUUAAAAAUGAAUCAAUAUUAAUAAAGGUACAAAAUUAGAAGACAGCAAAGUAUCGAUACUCUCGGGAACUAAACGUGCACAUGCAGAGGAAAUGAUUUGGACGCAUUAAUACACAGAAUAUCGAGAUGCAUCACACAUAACGUGGUAUUGCUUCUGUCACCUCUGUGGUGACAAUAAAAAAAAAUUAGACAGUAAACGAAAAAUGGCCACUUUUAAGUACUUAUAUCUAUACCUCUUAAUGCUAAAUUAGCACGUUGGUUAUAGUUUUAAAAUCAAAUUAAUUCAUUUAAAGCAACAUAAUAAAUGAUAUCAUACUUGUCUUAUUUUGUUUUACUUUAAAUUCAUGGAAUUGACGCAAGAUAAAGCUGAAAAUUAUUUCUUUAGAUGACACCGCAAAUAUAUUUAAAACCAAGAAAAGCAGUUUUUACCCACACUUCAUUAAGUGGAAUAUAGCAACCAAAUAUUUCGAUUUCUAUAUGAUAUAAAUUAGACUAUAGAACAUCUCAUUCUUGACAGCUGUUCAUUUAUUGAUAGGGGCAAUAGUGGUUUGUCGAUAUUUAUAUUCAAGUUCUAUUUUAUGCUAAUUCUGAACAAACAGUAUGACAUUUUUAAUAAUUCUAUUUUUUUGCAAAUUCAAUCUGUUUAUGUAAAGGGGUAAACGAUAAAAUGAAAACACAUCACACAAGCAUACAACAAAAUAUUGGACCAAUGAUAGUUGUCAAAACGUCUCCUUUCCUUUUAAAAAUGAGGGAAAAGAAGAUGGAGACCUAAUUCUUAUUUCACUUAUUAAAAAGAAUGUUCCCAUAGUACACUAUCAUUUACUAUGUUCAGUGGACCGUGAAAUAAGGAAAAAAUCUCUUAUUUCGCUUUAAAAUUAGAAAGAUCAUAUGAUAAGGAACAUGUGUACUAAGUUUCGAACUUCAACUUAAUCACAAACUACCUUGCCAACGGAUGAACAAACAGACGCAAAGACCAGAAAACAUAAUGCCCCUCUACUAUCGUAGUUGGGGCAAAAAAAGAAAUCAAAAUGCACGCCUCCGGGUACGGGAGUUCACUGCAUUAAAGACCCAUUGCUGGCCAUCGGCUAUUGUCUGCUCUUUGGUCAGGUUGUUGUCUCUUUGACACAUUCCCCAUUUCCAUUUUUAAUUCAUUAUUUGUACGAAACUUUAAAUGACUUUCGUAGGUGUGGCAUUAAAAAAGAAAUUAAAAUGCACGCCUCCGGGUACGGGAGUUUCUCACUUCAUUAAAGACCCAUUGAUGGCCUUCGGCUAUUGUCUGCACUUUGGUCAGGUUGUUGUCUCUUUGACACAUUCACCAUUUCCAUUUUUAAUUUAUUAUAUGUACAAAACUUUAAAUGAGCUUUCCUCACGUAUGGAGCAGUAUCUUUUCAUCCUUCUAGAGUAUAUGUGAUCAACCCCAGCCUUUGAUGGUUUUUUUUUAACUUUUAAAGUUCUUUAUUUUAUGUUGUGUCAAGUGACAAUUUUUCCGGAUUUUAUAUAAAAGUCAUGGUCAGAUUUCGUCUAUUUCUGUUGAGACGUAAGAAUCUUUGUAGACAAGCUUUUCUGUUGGUGUGCAGUCGUAACCUAUUGUAUAUCUUUUUCUUGAUAUACAAGACAUACCGAUAUGUUCGUUUACAUGUUAAUGCAGCACUAAGAUAUCUAGUUGUUUUAUAUGUAUUGGAUUUUUGUACAAUCUUUUACUUAUGGCAAUUGCACAUAUCAGCUCUUGUUUUUCUUAAACGAGAAAAACGUUGAUUUGUUCAAUAUAUUUUCAACUUUGGGGUACAAAUGUCGAUAUUAAACUUUUUUACUGACUAUAUGUGUGUGUUAACAAUGUAUUAAUUGCCAUUGCAUGGACCAAAUUAAAAUAAAAUAUGCAGGAUUGAUUACAAAAAAUCUACUUUUGGUUUUCAAGUCCAUAAUUCGUAACUUUGUCAUUGGUUGACUUUAAAUAUAUUUCAUUCUUUUUCUUUUUGAUAAAUUGGCUCUUUCAUUAAAUAAUUAUGUUUUUGUGAUCCGGCUUAUGGCUUUAAUUACCGAUCGGUUUUACUUAUUCGCUGAUUUUGAUUUAUAAUAGCGAAGUUGGUGAAGAUGUACAAUUUACACCGAAUUAUACUUUCACUUUUUCGUUAUAAAACUUCACUUUGGGUAGUUACAUUGAUCUUGUUUUAAUGGUUGUGAGUAUUUGAUACUGUUUGGCUACGUAAAAUGAAAAAAGAUAUUCAGGUGAUAGUUCCAACAAGAGGAGAAAGUAGUCUUAUGAUGUUUGAUGUCGUGAUGCUAAUUAAAAACUAAAUAAAAUCAUAUUUACUCCAAAAGGAUCAAGACUUGUUGCAUGGAAAGGAUAAGCGUCUUGCGUAAUCUACCAUGCAGAUUGUAGACUCAGAAAAAUGUCACAAAAAAGAGCAGGAUACAAUCAGCUGUUUAGAUAAAGUUCAGAUGACUAUCAUGGUACCAUACGAUCCAAUCUCGGGAAAGGGAAUAUCUCAUGAAUUAAAAACUGUACACAUCAGAUCGGUUAUCUAAUUGUGACAGUGUCCGUGAAACUGAUUUGAAGUUAAUUUGUGUCGUUUUUCCUUAUAUCCCUGUUGUAUCGGUUGUUGUGUAUCUAAUUUUUUUUUUUUUUACAAAACGUGAACACUCUCUUAUCUGCAUCAAUUGAGUUGUGGAAUGUCUUUGUAAUGAUACUAGUAGCAUGUUACUACUGCUAAAGGCAAGUUAACAAUGGGAAACUGAAAUCGUCACCUAUGUCAUAAAAAAUAGAUUUUAUGCACUAAUAUGUUCAUUUGACAAUUCGAAAAUAAACUGACAACGCCAUGGCUAAUAAAGAAAAAGACAAAUAGACAAAUAAGAGUAUACAAGACAGAUCAUAGAAAACGAAAGACUGAGAAACACGAACCCUACUAAAAAUUGGGGGUGAUCUCAGGAAUCCUUAUCAAUGUAGAAAAAACAUACUCUAAUUUUUUGAAGUUUAAAGGCCAUCUAAUUUUUUGAAGUUGAUCGUAAACCACAUCGCACACUGCUGAAAUGAUAGUAGGAAAUCAGUAAAAUCCUAGACAGAUGAAUCAAAACUGGAUUUUUUUUUUAUUUGUAUGGCAUAUAUUGAGGCUGCUCAGGCGUGCAUUCAAAAGUUCAGUCAAAAUCUACGUUAUAUAAUGAACACAAUGGUUUCUUACGAUUUGAAUAAGUCCGAUGUUGUGGAUGCCAUAUUCGUAAUCAAUUGUACAGUCAAAAAUCAAUAUUUAGAACGUAUAGAUAUCAAACUUGGAAUUCACAGCUAAAAGUGGAAAUUCCAGAUUUACCCCUACAUCAUAGACGAAAGAGAAGAAUGUAGUAAAUCCCAAAUCCGCCCUUCUCUCCUUUCUAUUAAAAAGAACGUUGAAACUCUCCAGUUUUGACAACAUUCUAAAGAUCUACUUUAAAACCUUCAAUCACACUCACUUUAAUAUUGCAGUAACAUCAAAACUUAAUGAUGCUCUGUACUUUUGUGUUACCUUGGUUUGUAUCACACAAAUACCACAUUUAAAAAAAAACCACGAAAAACAAAUAUAGUAUUAUUUAGUUUGUUCUUCUUAUUACAUAAUCCUUUUACUUCAUAUAAUCUUAUAGUCAUAUAGUGACAAAGGACACAGUUUUAGAUGGUGUAUAUAUUCAUACCGUAUUUAAGCCCAAAAUGGAAUAAACUGCAGAUUGGACACGUUAAUGUCAUCAUUAAGAACCAACGCAUCCUCAAUUCAGAACCAAAACAACACUUCUUAGUAAAUGAUGAUACACAUCUUGCUUCUUUUUGUGCAAAGAGUGUUAUCCAACAUUGUUUUCUAUUUACCUUUGUUGUGUUUUUCUGAACGUAGAUGGCAUUAUCCAGUAUUGAUGCCCCUGUACCUAUAUUUUUUCACCACUUUUUUCCUUGUAUCUGUGUAUUUCUGAUAUAGUCAGCACAAAUUCAUUAUUGUUUCCUAUACGUGUGUUUUGUUGACUGAAUGCGUAAAAUACUUGUUUAAUCAGAAACCUGUCUGUCUAAAGUGACGAACAUCGUCGGGUCCAAAUAUAGCUUCACAAACUGUAUAUACCAUUGUUUUGAUUUUGAAGAUUUUAUGUUGACUUCAAAGAGUUCAGUUUGGGUUUUUUUUGUGUCGUUUGGGUACUGACUUUGUUACGUGCAAACAGCAUCUCCUUAUAUUUAAAAGUAAUAUCAAAACCAAAUAUUGUAGCAUGAAAUUCCAACAAAGUCUAAUUAAAAGGAUGCGGGGGAGUUUUAGAAAAUCACUGAUUAGAUUUUUAACAAUAAAUGGGCAGCCUUUAUAUAUAGGUUGAUUUAUUAACGAAAGGAAUGAUUUGAGGGAUAAUCGUACAAUUUGCCUGCGUUAUAAAUAAAAUUACAAUACAAAUCAUAAAUGAAUUAUUGUAGAAUAUAUCUGGAAGUUGGUUUUCCAUUUUGAAAUGAUAGAUAACAAUAUCGAAUGACUCUUUCUCUUUGUGAAAGAUCGUACGGUGACUUAUAAACGUUCACAUAUAUUUUAUUUGAUGUUAAAUGAUAUUUUCUCAUCGGCAAUCAUAUUUUUUGUCUUUAUGUUUAAAUAAUAAUAAAGUGAAAUAAUUUAAAUAUAAAAUUCCCGCAAGGGGAAAAAGCUUUUAUAAUGAAUCGUUAUAAUAAAGAAAAAUAUAGUAGCAGGUUACACUAGGUUAUGACCUUGAUUUCCUUGUUAUUUAUCAGAAGUAGAAAUUAAACAACGAUUGAAAUAUUAGACGUCACUGCAAACGCACACACAUCGAACUAUUUGAGACCUGUACAACCCAAACGGAGAAGUCAAUGAAAGGGAACAGAACAUUCAAUAUGAGAACUUAUAUAGAAAAACUUGUCAACGCAAAAUCAAAUUUCCUUUUAUAUAUGUAAGGUGUACAAGGGAAUCGAUGUCGUUUUAUUGGGUUUGUUUCAUUGCUGUCGGAUCUGCGCAUACUCAAUGUUAAAUUUUAUUUAAACUGAUGAUUUUUAUAGAGAUUGUGUCAUUUGUUUUGUAGACAAUUGUAUUUUUCGAAAACUUUACUUUUAUUACAUUUUACCUGUAGGAAUCUUUCAUCCGCAAUUGGAUAUAAAAGUUACUUGCAAAUCACACAAUCAAUGGCAGAAUAAGCAUGCAAAACUAUAUAAAAUUGAAAUCUUAGGAUUAUUAGUUGAAGUGACAUUUGUUACUAAAUGUUAAUUCCCAAACAUUGGUAUCACUGCUACUUGAGAGCACAUAACAUAAUUUCAAUUAUUUUAACAUUUGUCUUUCUCGUUUAAUUCUGGUUAAAUUGUAAUAGCAUCGGGCUAUCAAUUUUGUAUUGCUUUCAUAAUUAUCAAACGAAAGAAACCACAGAAUAAUAUUCUGGUAGACCGCGAAAUAAAAUAUUAAUUUUCCACCCUUUGAAGAGCAAAGGUGAGCAUAUAGGCGUUAAAUUAUUUUUCGCAUCAGUCAAAAAUCACUUCUUGUGGUUAGCUGAAAAAAAAGCUUUUCACUUAAGUGUUGAUGAAGAUAUCAAGUUAAGCGAACAAUGACACAUGUUUCAUACAAAUUGAAUAAUACAUAACUCAUAAUGAAUGCUAUUGCUGAAAACCUAAAUCAAUUGUGAUAUAUAUUUUUUACUAUUUCUUAAGAUACAAAUGUUUACAUCAUCUUAAACAGUUUAUGCUGACUUUGCUUGAACAGAAAAAAAAAAGAACAUGGGCAAAGAAAAUCAGAGUUGGUUCCAGAAGGGUGGAAGAAAUCAAUAGCAAAAACAAAAACAAAAAGUCACAAAACUUCUAUUUGAAAACUUAAUAUUGAAUAACUCUCAACAGCCAGUUUGAUUUAAUAUGAGUUAUAUCAUAACAAAUAAACUCAUCAUAGAUAUCAGGAUCAAAAUUUUAUAUUCACGCCAGACGCGCGUUUCGCCUAAAAAAGACUCAUCAGUGACGCUCGAAUAAAACAUUUUAAAAGGCCAAAUAGAGUACAAAGUUGAACAGCAUUUAGGACCAAAAAUUCCUAAAAGUUUUGCCAAAAUACAGCUCAGGUAAUCUAUUCCUGAGGUAGAAAAACCUUAGUUUUUCAAAAAUUCAAUGUUUUGUUAACAGUUAAUUUAUAAUUAUGAACAUAUCAAUGAUAACUCAAGUCAACACAGAAGUGAUGACUACUGGGCUGGUGAUACCCUCGGGGAAAUAAAUCUCCACCUGCAGUGGCAUCGACCCAGUGGUUGCAAAUAAACUCAUCAUAGAUACCAGGAUCAAAGUUUGAUAUUUACACCAGACGCGCGUUUCGUCUAAAUAAGACUCAUCAGUGACGCUCGAAUAAAAAAUGUUUAAAAGGCCAAAUAGAGUACACAGUUGAAGAGUAUUGAGGACCAAUAUUUCCUAAAAGUUUUGCCAAAAUACAGCUAAGGUAAUCUAUUCCUGAGGUAGGAAAGCCUUGGUUAAAUUUUGAUGAAAUCUCCUAAGGUACGAGGUUUAUGUUCAUAAUAAAUGUAGUUAACAAACCUUGGUUGCAAAAGAAAGGUAAAAAAUAUUAAUUUUCACGUGAAUUUCAUCUACAAAUAACUCCUACAGAACACUCGAAUUAAAACAGUUAGAAGGCCAAAUCACAUUCGAAGUUGAAAAGCAAUAAUAAACACCAAUCAUUUCGAGAUAUAGGGCCAAUUGCGGAUUACUAGUGUAAUAAAUGAUAAUUGUUUAACUGUUUAAGUUUUUACUUGUUUAAAUUAAGCAUUUUCGUUACUAAAGUGCGUCACUAUUUAUAAUUUCCUGUGGUGUUUGUCGUUGAUGGAAGAUAUUCGUUGUUGUUCUGCGGUUUGCAUGUUGUGUCGACUAUUAUAUUAUUUGUUUGUGCGAUUUUCUGUAAUGAAUGAUAUUGCAUGGGUUUGUACUGUACGUUCUGUCAAGUUGUGCUGUCAUUGAAGUGAUGUUUUUCAACAUUGUCAUAAAUAGGAGGUUUGGAGAGUCAUAAAACCAGGUUCACUUCAAAUGUCCUGUACCAAUUCAGGAAUUUCAGUUGUUAUCAAAUAGUUUGUUUUUAUGUUGGCGUUUGUUUUUGUAUCACUUCAGAGCUUCUGGUGUUCCUUUGUUUUUCCAGUUUUCCGGUUGAUGUGUUUCCCUCGGUUUUUAUUUGUAACCCGUAUUUGUUUUCAUCAACCGAUUUAUGACUUUUGAACACCGGUAUACUUCUGUUGCCUUUAUUCAGUUAUUAGAAUAAUUCAAUAUUUUACAAACAAUAAAUAUAGGUUUUACUAAAAAGCAAGAAGAUAGUAAAUUCAGAGCAUUUCCCUUUAAAAAAACUACAUUCCGUUCCAUAUAUCGAUUUAAACACGGCCAAUAUUGCUGACUAUGCGUUUUUUCAUUGUUGAAGACCGUGUAGUGAUCUGAAGCUGUUAAUGUCUAUGUUAUUUUGUUUCCGGUGAAGAGUUGUCUCAUUGGCAACAAUCUUCCUCUUAUUUUUGUAAGCCCCAUAUUUAAGGGAUUUUACUUAUCAAGAAAAAUUCGAUAUUAAACAUAAUUCAUGAUUAGAAAAAAAACCAUAAUAUUUUUAGGUAAAAAAUCAUAGGUAUCAAACAUUUCAUAACACCAAUUUUCAAACUUAAUGAUUCGUAAAACCCCAAAAAAUAUAAAUCCCAUAAUAGUAAAGCAUCAUAUAAUUUCUUUGAAGAAUAUGAUUUAUUAAUUGUAUGGUAAAAAACUUUUUAAAAUUAACGUCUUAAUUUAGUUAUGCACUUAAGUGUUGCAACUUCAUAGUAUACAAUUGUAUAUCGUAUCUUUUGAUAAAAAUCUAUGAUUCAUCUUUUUGUGUUAUUGCUACUUUUGUCACAUGAAUAUUUAUUUAGGUUCCAACUUCUAAGAAAGCAAAUACAUAUAUGUGUUUGGUGUUUUAUAAUUAUUUAAUUGUGAUUACGUGUGUGAUGUCUUCCCUCUUAUCUUUUUGUUUUGUACGUUAUUCAGAGGUUUAGAGCGAAUAAUCAGUUGAUACGGUUAACGUUAGAUUUAAAUGCGAACCAAACGAGCUUGAGACGUACAGUGAGUUAGAUGUUCAGGAACACUAUGUGUCAACUUCGAUCUCUUUUAUCCAGGGACAUAAAUUGUAGUGUCAGUUUACAAAAAGUACAACCGUAUUACCAAACCUUUGCAAUAAAACUUUUUAAAACGGAAAACAGUUCAUGAAUUGAUUAAAUCGUACAGUUUAUGAAUAAGUUUAUUCGUACAGAUAAUGAAUUGAUUGAUUCCAACAAUUUAUUAAAUGAUUAAUUCGUACAGUUUAUGAAUUAGUAUUUUCGUACAGUUAAUGAAUUGGUUUAUUCGUACAAUUCAUAAAUUGAUUAAUUCGAACAGUUCAUAAAUUGAUUAAUUCGAACAGUUCAUGAAUUGAUUAAAUCGUACAAGUUUAUGCCCAGUAGCCAGUACUUCGGUACUGACAUGAAAAUACGGAUUUUUUGUGUUAUUAAAAUUUGCUGUUACAAAAUGUUAGAAAUUAUUAUAAAUUAAGGAACGUAUCUCCCUCAUGCAAAGCUCUGAUUCCUUUCACGGAUUUGGCUAUACUUUUUGGACCUUUUGGAUUAUAGCUCUUCAUCUUUUAUAUAAGCUUUUGAUUUCAAAUAUUUUGGCCACGAGCAUCACUGAGGAGACAUGUAUUGUCGAAAUGCGCAUCUGGUGGCAGGAAAAUUAGUACCGUUAAUGUUAUUAUGAAUAAGUUUAUUCGUACAGUUAAUGAAUUGAUUUAUUCAUGAAUUAAUCAAUUGGUUCAGUUUAUGCAUUAAUUUAUUCGUACAGUUAAUAAAAUGGUUAGUUCCAACAGUUCAUGAAUUGAUUAAUUCGUACAGUUCAUGAAUAAGUUCAUUUAGUCAGUUAAUGAAUUGGUUAAUUUCAACAGUUCAUCAAUUGUAAUAUUCCUGCAGUUUUUUAAUGCCGAUAGUUCCAGCUGUUCCUUUCCUUAUAUAAAAUAACAUUAGUCUUCUUUUUCAUUAAGUAAAGAAAAAGUCAGAGGAAUUCUAUUCACAAUUUUUUGUGUAUUUUGUGGUCCUUCUACGUCGUUGAUAUUUUUCUGAACAAAAAUGCUAAAACUUCAAUGCAAAUAUAAAAAGGGGAAGUCCUUAAACACUGACAAAAUCAAACUGUAUCGAUCAACUGUAUCGAUAAACUGUAUCGAUCAACUGUAUCGAUCAACUAUAUCGAUCAACUAGUGAAGAACAACUGCCAUAUUCCUGACUUGAUACAGUCAUUUUCCGAAUAAAGUUGUGGGUAAAACCUGGCUUUAUAGCUCGCUAAAUCUGCCACUAGUAUGACAGUUAUUUACAGAUUCGUUAUACUUUAUAUAUAAAAGUAGGUAAGCAAAUCAUCCAGAUUUAAUAGAUUAAUGGAAAAAAAUGAAAAAAAGUUGCUGCUUCGAACGUAUUUUGCUGUAGGUAAAUUGAUUCGGGUCUAUUUGUGGCUAACUAUAUUGACAAUUAUCGCUGUCAGAAGAAAUUGCACUAGAAAGUGUACGUUGCACCCGAACUCAACAUAUCUGCAUGCUAACUUGAUAAUUAGCCAGCAUUAUAUAGGGAACCUGCAAACAUUCCUUGGUGUGCUUUAUUUGUAAUAUUCCUAUGGUCUAGACGACAGUUGUUACGAUGUAUAAGUUACAAGAACAAAAAUAACUGUUUGAGUCCAGACUUUAAUAAUCUAUUUGAAAAUGUGUCCUUAUCAUCACACCAGGCGGAUUGAAUCUAAAUUAAAAAAUUAAAAAGGCUUUAAGACGAAAAGAGGCAACUUGGUUCACAAGUUUAUAAAAGUCAGACUAUAAUCUGGUAAAAAAUUAGGAACAAAAAAUUAUCUAUAAAAUUACAAUCGGAAAAGCAUUUCACAAUAUAAGGAAAAGAGGCAUAAACAAAACAAAACCAAGUGAAAUUCAGAAGGAAAAGUCCAUAAAUAAAGGCAACAGUAGUAUACCACUGUUGAGAGUCAUAAAUCGAUGGAGAGAAAACAAAAUCCGGGUUACAAACUAAAACUGAGGUAAACACAUCAACUUAAAGAGGAAAACAACGAAACAGCAGAAGCACUGAAGUGCAACAAAAAGCCAAAACGACAAUGCACCACACAGAGAAACGAACUAUAAGAUAACAACUUUUCAUAAAACCAGAAAAACAACAAUACUCGACUACAUAAACUAACGCAUAACGCUACGAAACAAAGGGAAAGAACUGUCAUACUCCAAACUUGCUACGCAUUUUCCGAGAAAUGAUGGAAUGAUUUUUUUUAAAUAUCUGACUAAGAUACACACAGGAAUUGUUUUAAACUAUUAGCAUAUUUGAAGAGUGUUUUUUUUAAAUGCAACUUUCUACAAUUAUCGCUUUAAAUCAACUUUGCAUAAGAGAUAUCGCUUUUGUAUCUCGAAUGUCUAAAUUUGUGUUCUUGACUUAAAUUGAAGAAAACAAAAAAGAUGCAUCUACAUUUAUAUGCUUACGUAUACGUAUAUACAAUUCGAAAGGUAAGCUAUGUGUUAUGAUUUGCUUUAUCGAUCAUAUCUUUGACUCCUGUGAAAGGUUAUAAAGCAAACCCCAACGCUAACGGUAUUAUUAGGCAAAAUAUAUUCAAUAAGUAUCAUUGAACAUACAUUUUCUAACAUACAUCAUCUUCCAAAAGGUACCCCUAUGUUUUUUGGUUUUUUUUUUAACUCUAAAUUGAUUUAACAGUAAAACAAAUCCCUUACAUUACUGUUUAGUUCAUAGCUCAUUUGUAGGUGACCAGGCAUGAAUUACUCGAGAUACUAAGGUUUUUCAACAUCCUGGUUGCAUUGAGGUUUUUUUGGCCUUCCAACCGUUACAUUUGAAUGCCACUGAUGAGUAGGCUAGCAUACACGAAACGCGUCUUUACAAAGUGAUGCCAUUGCUGAUGGGCGUUUAAUUACUCAAAGACUUAAGUGUUUCUACUGUCCGGUCGUGUGGUCAUAACAUUUUGAAUUUUAUCGUACUCAGACUCGGAUGAUUGAUCUAAUUUUAGCAGCUAUUUUAUGUUCACAUACUCGAACACACACAUACAUGUUGCAAAGUUAAAAACACUCAAAAAAACAAUCUAGAGUAGCUUGAUUGUAAAAUAUGCAUCAGCAUGGAUAAUCUACAUGAAUUAAAUGAAACAAAUAUAAUAUCUUAUUCGAUCUUUUCGAUUUUUAAAAUAUUUUAUUAAGCAAUUUGUGAACAGAUAUCUGUUAUGUUAAACAGGAAAUGAAUUCAUUUGAAGUUUCAAAAAUAUAAGCUUUUGACUAAUGUUAUUGGAAAUGUUGAUAUUAUAAAAACAAAACACAGAAAGAAGUGCCCUACAAUUUUCUGACAUCUAUUGAGAUACAUGUCGACAUAAAAAUUGUUUAACUCUUAUUACAGGUAGCCAGCUAAAAGAAAACAUGAAAGCAAAAGAAGGGUAAGUACUAUCUGUUUCCAGUGGACUAACUUGAACUAUUUGAUAACAAUACAAUGCUAAUAUAUAGUGAAAUGGAACUGUUGUAGGUGAUAAACUCUAAAAUCUGUUGAAAAUCGUAUGCUUCUUUUUGGUGAUAAGCGGCUGUGAGUACGCAUUUUUCGACAUGUAUAUUUUUCUGUGGUAUAUACGAUAUUAAACCUGAGAAAUGAGAAAUUAAGACGACAGUAGUUUACUGAUGUUCAAUCUCGUAAAUCAGUUACGAAAAGACAAAUCAUGAAUACCAAAUAGGUCUCAAAUCAUGUCCACAACAUACGACAAAUAGUGUUUGCUGAUACAUAUAUAAUACUGUUAGCAUUGUCCGCUAACUUUCAAAACGAUUUACAAGCAAAUUUGCACGGACACUUCUUCAAAUGACUUUGUCAAGUCUUGAUUGAUUUCAAAUCUCAUUGACUUGCUGUAAUCUAUGUUUGGCAAGGUAGUAGUGCUAAACCGGAAUUCAUGGAUUUCAUAUAUUUAACCUGCCACAGAAUCUAGAAUGUCUGAAUUGCAUAGAGUUUUUUCUUCGGAAGUUAUGUUAUACAUAUCUUAUAAAACAAUUUGCAAUGGUUUCUUGGCAUUUUGACUGAGUAUGGCAUGUUAUGAACGAAAUACUUAUCGGUUCCAAUCACCUUAUCUCGUGUGUUAAGGAGUUUAUGCAAUUCUUAUGGUUCUUUUGUUUUUUUAUACCGAGAUUUGUAUUUUCAAUAAAGGCAACAGUAGUAUACCCUGUUCAAAACUCAUAAAUCUAUGGACAAAAAACAAAAUCGGGGUAACAAACUAAAACUGAGGGAACCGCAUUAAAUAUUAGAGGAGAACAACGACACAACAUUAAAAUGUAACACACAGCAACGGACUAAGCAUUAGACAACAUCCGAAAAUGGAUCAAUGAAAUUUGAGCAAUAUACUUUUGUCUCUUCGUUGGUUUACUGAUGUAGUUUUUCGAAAGUUCUUAAGUAUGUAUAUGGAAUCAGUGUUGAUUGUAAUUAUGAAAAUAGUUUUCAUGAUAGUAUAUUCUGAGAACUGAUUUCAACCGAUAAAUAGGAAUGCUUAAACCAAAGAAUGAGUAGUGAAGAUUUUAUAAUAUUUUUUUUAUUAGAUAGCGUAGGCAGGCUUCAAUUUUUCAGUAAGCUGCUUUUAAUAAAGGCAACACUAGUAUACCACUGUUCUAUAGUCAUAAUCCAAAGUUGCGUACUUUGAGGAGGGGUGGUUAUCAUUACACAUUUGGGUGUAAAAUGCGUGUUUACAAUUGGAUUUGUAAUGAUAUAAUGGCACAUAUAAAACAAAUAUAAAACACAAUUCUUCACUUUUAUCUGAAUAAGUAGUUUACAGUUAACUGUACAAUAUGUAUAUGUAUUACAAGGGCGGAUCCAGCCAUUUGAAGAAAGGGGUCCAAACCCAAAGUUAAGCGGGGAUCCAACUAUAUGCUCCCAUUCAAAUGCAUUGAUCGGCAAAAAAGGGGGUUCCAAUCCCCGGAACAACCCCCCCCCCCCCCCCCUGGAUCCGCUAAUGUAUUAAAACAAAAUAUGUAAACGUUCAUUUGUAACGCGUAUUCAAAAAUACAAAUGACUUCAGAUUUGUAUUUCAAAGUGAAAACAAACCUACUGAUCUAAACAAUUCACCUUAAUUUCGGAAAAUUUGAGCCUCAAAUAAAAUCAUACAUGGAAAAUAGACGACGUAUAUACAGAAUCAAUUUUAAAAAAGAAAAAUAUAACAAUCUUAGGAAAGUUCAAAUUGGAAAGUCCCUCAUCAGCUGUUUGCUAUAUAAUUUCCAGUAUCAAACUAUACUUCGUGGAUGUUAAAAAACGAUUUGUUGAGAAAAUGCUUAUGUUUCACAUUUUAUCAAGUUUAUCUUAUAAUCUUACAAUCUGAUAGGACUGAAUAUGACUUUAAUCAUGGAUAACAAAACAACAAAUCAUAAAAUUAAGAAUUACAAUGGAGAAUGUGUCAAAAGGACAAAAACCCGAUAUAGAACGAAUAUAACUUAAGCCACACAUACAUAAUGUUAAGCUAUGAGUAACCUAACUAAUGGGCUUUUCUUAUAUACAUUUUUGUUGAUAUUUUGUGUUAUUCAUUGGUAUAAACAAGGCGUCUUGUAUAGAGACAUCGCAUCAACAGAUAUUUACUGGUUUUCUUAGUGCCAUUUAGUUCCUAAAGGAAAAUUACAAACGCUAUCGUUAUUUAUUUAUUUGUAUGAGGUUUGGAUUAAUAAUUGCUAAGUAUACAUUUUUUGUACUUCCUUUUGAAAAAUAUUUCCGAUGGUCAGAAUGUCGCAUUGAUAAUGUACGAAUACUUUGCCCGUAUAAUAAUUAAUUCACAAAAAGUGUCAUCCAACGUGAUUAGAAGGGAGACAGGUUUUAUAAGUAAUUAGCAAAAAGCAAUCAGAGCGAAUUUUAGCAAGCAAUCGGAUUUCUGUAUAUUUGAAACACAAACAUUUUGAAUUAAAGGUGAGAGAGAUUUUCCAUGUUCCCCAUUAUUCAUCAUCAUAUCAAUACAGUAGGCGGUUAUGUAAAACAAUUAAUUCCUGCUGAGUCUGGCAGGUAUAGGACAUUUGUUAUAAUAAAAAUUACUACUAAUGAAGUCUUUGUUAAAUUAAAAUGCCCAUUUAUAGCAGUGGUUUCACUACCAAAAGUUUUCAUUAAAAACUUGAUAAAAGUCGCAUGACACCAGCAGAUUUUCUGAUGAUUAGUAAGGAACGUAAAAUUUCAGUUUACAGGGAAUAAAUGGUUCAAAUUAAUUAUCUGAGAAUAUCUUCAUUUUCUUUCACAAUGUCGUUUGUAUAUUAGUAUUCAGUCGCAUUGGAUUAAAGACAAAUCCUUCUAUUCAGAUCUACCAAUAAUAUCUUCUUCUUUUUUAUUUUAUUUUUACUUUAGGCUAGGUAAAAGCUUUAAAAUAAGCAAAUAAAAAAAUGGGGUCACCGACCUCGUUUUCGAUUUAAAACGCCAUCUUUUUCACGGAAUUUGGAAAUUGGGACUUCUAGUCAAUAGCAGUGUAAUAUUUUUUUUAAAGUCCGUAUCCUAUAAAAACUUGUCUGUUUUGUUAACCUAGUUGUUAAUACAAACUAUUUUAAUAAUAUCACCAUUUUCUGAGUGGAAAAUAAUAAUGAUAAGUUGCUAUAAUAGUUUUCCCGCCUUUUUUUAUUGUGAAAUACCUAUAAAAAAAAUUAAGUUUAAAAAAAUUGACUAAUAAUUUCUCCAUGAGUCUUCAGUAGAAUAUGCGUUGUUUAUAUCUAAACAAAAUAAGGAAAUAAAAAUAUGGGGUCACCGUAAUGGAAAAAGAGAUAUUUCUGAAAAGGGGUUAACAAUUUUGAAUUGGCGGGAACACAUUGCGCCAAUUCUAAAAACAACGUCGAAAGACGUUCGACCGGUUUUGGCUAUAUUCUUACAAAUUAGAGACAACCCACACAUGAUAGUACUUAGUUUUCAGUCAGUAUCAGACACGUAAUAUAAAUGCGGUGGUUGGAAAACAAUGCGUUGUACAUAUGUACACACGAAUGCUUCUAUGAACAUUUCAUUUCAGGUUAUUCAUAGUGCUUAUGUGUUGAACAGAAAUUCUUUUUAAAAUAGUGAAGACAUUUUUAUUUAAUAUCAUUGUUCAAUCAAAGUAUAUCUGAAAGACAAGACAGAAUUUUUCUUCGGUUAUCAUGAAUUUUAAUUUCGUUUAAAAAUGUUGUUCCUUUUUUAUUUUGAUGAUAAUUACUUAAAAUCAUUAGAAAUCUAAGACUCCGUUUCUACUAACAAUAAAGAUCGUUCAUUUCUGAGAUCGAUUUUAUUUCAAUUCCGUGCAAGUGUUAAUGGGGUCUAAUUAAUAUCAUUUCUGUUUUGAUUAUUCAUCCUUAGGCAUCUAUGAAUAUCGAAAUAUUCUGUAAUGUUGCUAGAAACUCAGUCUAAGUAUACUCAUACAGCUGUCAUACCGUGAGUAUGAAUAAAACCUAGUCCGACCUCUUUUCUCAAAUCUCCUUUUAAUUGAUUUUUUUUUCAUAUGCAUUCCUCUGUAAUUCUUCAUUCCGACAACUUUUUAACACAGACACGAUUACGUUUUUUUUUAUACAAAAAUUGCGCACCUUAUACAUAAAUAUCAAAUUUGGUAAAUCGGAACAAACUCGGAAUGGUAAUAUAAAAAACCUACAAUGUUAGAAGCUUAUAUUUUAACUUCUCUAGGUGUACUUUGUUUUACAUGUAUGCGUCGUUAGGUUACUGUUUUGUUGGUGUUUAUCAGAAAUCUAAUUAUCAUAUUCAUGUAAAACUGUAAGUGCCGUACACAUUGAAAAUACGUCAGUGCAAUUUACCAUAUCCAUAUAUAUAUAUAGGUACGUAUUGUAUCUUUUGCUAGAGAUAAAUUGAAUUUUGAGGACAUGACCAGAAUGAUUGAUGAUUUUGUACUUUCUUAAUGAUUUGUAAAAUAUCGAUAUAAUUAAGAACCUACGAAAGUCUAUACGUGUAGAAAAUUAAAGAAAAAAGUAUUAUAUUAUAAUUUGAUUGGCUCAUCUUGUUGUCGAGUAUCCAGAUUCUGUUUCGUUUCUUUACAGUCAUUUUUGUGUAUUUUUUGUUGUUAGAUUGCUAUAUAGUUGACUCUCUUUUCAUUCUCAUAUUUUAUCCAAUUCUAGAACAUGUCUAUGAUAUAAAAACAAUUUUCAUUUUUUUCUCGGCAAAUUAACCUAUCAAAACGAUUGUCACUCUCUCCAUCGGCUCAAAGAGGAAUAACUCUAAUAAACGUUUCCAGUUCGCGGAAACCGCGACGUCAUAAACCGCUGACGACAUAGUACUGUUGCGCUUGUAUAUGCGCAUAAACAAUAGAGGAUAUUGUCUUUAAAUAUGUCAUAUAACUUUUUUCUCGUACACCUAUUCAAUAAAUUCCUGCAUCAUGUCGUUUGUAUAUAACAAUUUGUCUGAACUUCUACUAGGCAUUAUCCUGCUUAUUCGGUUGUCAUUUUUUUGUUUCUUUGUCUAUCGUGUGUUUUUGUUUGUCAAUAAAAUUCCAAUGUAUCUAAAUUAAACUCUGAAAGGCUUAUUCCGUAUCUAAUUUAAACUCUGAAAGCCUUAUUCCGUAUCUAAUUCAAACUCUGAAAGCCUUAUUUCUAUCAAUGUCGAUAUAAGUUUAGUAACAAUAGAAUAGAUUGUUUUCCGUCAAAGUAUGUCAUGUUUUUAUUUAAACAAAUUCAAACGAUGACACUGUCCAAAAUCUUCAAAACAAAAAGAAAAAAAAAGAAAAUAAAAGCUUGGUUAAAAAACAAAUAGUAAAAAUGAGGAUUGAUGCAGUUUUACAAAAAAGGAAAAAAACAUAUAAGAUCGUAGUCUCGGCUCAUACUUUGCUUCCAAAUAAUGGUCUAAUGGCGUAUAAAUCUGGAAACUUAAAACAGAAACCCUUGAACUAAGGUCUACUCUAAAACAAAUCUUUCAAAGUGAGACUGCCCUGAUUCUUGAAAUUGUUUAUACAAUAGGAUAUCAUCUUUAUCAUGAUCAAAUAAUCCCCAAAUGUCAUUAAAAAGGUUUUUUUUUCUUGCGCGUGUGUUAGUGUGCUGAAUACGACGAUUUAAAGAAAAGUUUUAUGCUUAUGUAUAUAAUCCUUUGUCUUAAUUGUUAGAGAUAUCUUCAAAGCUACAUUCAGUUUCUUGGUUUAUGUUGAACUAAGAAAAUGUUAACAAAAGAAAAAUAUAGCAUCAUUAUAUUUACUAGUAAUAUAUAUAAAUAUAUAUAUAUAAAAGUACCUCUGAGUCAGUGAAAACUCUACAACAGAUUUAUCCAUCGGAUCACCAGCAAUGAUGGUGAUGCAUGGCUGUGUACAUUAUGUAUAUACAACUCGUCUAAACAUCAACCCAACAAUGUUAGAUCUGUAAAUUUGCUUUCGCAAAUUUUGUGGGUUCGAAUCCCGGCGAGGGAAGAACAAAAAAUUUGCGAAAGCAAAUUUACAGAUCUAACAUUGUUGGGUUGAUGCUCAGAUAUGAACAUCAUGAUACAAUUCUAACAAAGUACAGAGAUUUCUGACAGGGGACAAGUACAAUACAUGCGGCGUGAUUAAACAUAUUUUGCUAGAUCUCAAAUCAUUUUUUGUUUUUUUUUUUGCUCUUUGUGGGAUUCAGCAUGAUUGAAAAUAUUUUUUUACAUAUAUAUCUAUGGUUGUUAUGUUUCGUUUAAUUCUAUCUUCUUGCCUAACAGUUUGUAUAUAAUAUCUUAUUUAAAAGUCAGAUUAAUCUUAUGAUAUAUAAACUAUCUCUUUUUGACUUAUAUUAAGGUUAAAAGGGCUCAAAAACAACUGUUAACUUAUAUUUCCGAGAAAAAAAAUCCAGACUUUUUAAAACUCCUUAUGAAAAUAUACGUUUUUUGUAAUUCAUAUCUGGAAAAUUAUGUACUUCAGGUUGGAGGUACGAAAAUAAAAGUUAUGUUGUAGAACAUCUCAUUAGCAUUAGACUUAGGUCCGUGUUAGGAAAGUUAAUGUCGACAUUUAAACGAAAUAAUCAAAAUUAGUUUUGCCUGUCUUUAGACUAUUCUUAACUUAACACUUAAGUAUGAUAAAAAGUAAAAUCACAAAAAUACUGCACUCCGAGGAAAAUUCAAAAUGGAAAGUCCUUAAUGAAAUUGCAAAAUCAAAUGAUAAAAUACAUCAAAGGAAUGGACAUCAACUGUUAUAUUCCUGACUUGGUACAGGCAUUUUGAAAUGUAGAAAACGAUAGAUUGAACCUGGUUUUAUAGCACUAACCUCUCAGUCGCACUAAAUUCCAUUAUAUUUACAACAAUUAUUUAUUUUAUAAUUUUGAUAUUUGCAUCAUCAGACAGAUAUAUAAUAUAAGAUUCUUAUAAAAAGUGUCGUAAGACAUACACUACACCUAUAUUUGAAAUGAUGUGUACAGCAGGACCCUUCUCCUACUGCAAGUGUAAAAUUCUGCUUUCACAACAGGAAUAAAGAAUUUUUAAAUGAAGUUUAGCAUAUGAGGAGAGAUAACUCAUGAAUGAAAUGGGUCUCUUUUCAAAAAGUACUCUUUUCCUGUUGAAAUACUCAGGAAGUCUGGAAUCGAUUAUUUUAUAUCGGAUAAUAAGUUUGAUUUGUCAAGGACAUCCUCGCUCGUCAUGCAUUACAGAUUUUAUUUUCAAAUUAUCGAUAAUUUAUUUGCGAGAUUAAAAAUUAUAGAUCAAUUGUUAAAACAGAAUAAUUUAAAUGAAGUAUGUUCGAUUUUAGUGUUUUUAUUUGGACAAUUUGUUAAUUUUUCUGCGAUAAAAUAUGUUUAACAGCUUUUUAUUUUUUGACUAAUUCAUAUAAUCCAAAUUACAGUGUGACAUAUCUUGUUUAAUAAAUAGUUUAUUAAAUAAAUAUAUCAUUUAUUUGAUAUUCCUUAAGACAUCGAAAGACAAAUUUUCAUGCAUGUACAUUACAGUUUCAACUCAAGUUUUUGCCAAUCUAACAUCUACUGUUAAAAAUGACUUAACAUAUGAAAUUUUCCUUUUGCAUUUGAUUUCAUUUCUUUGGAUAAAAAAUAUAUGUUUUGUUUUUAUUUAUUUUCGAAUCAUAUGUAAAACAUAAUAAUGUAAAACAUAAUACGAUAUGUGUUUUUCUUAUAAUUAUUAUAUUUCCAUUACCCGAAUCUGAAAAAAAUAAAGUGUUUAUAUGAAAUUUCUGAUGAGGGAUAUAUAUUCUGUUUUCGAAUUUGUUUUUAUAAUUGUUACUUAAGUGGGUUUGUCGAAAUUUAAACUAUUAUUUAAAUUCAUAUCGUGAAUAAUAUGUGAUGAAUUUCAUUUCCAAUGGGGGAAAUUAUAAAUAGUUUUAACCCACUUAUAAAAUUUAGAAUCGAAACAAACAUAUUUACUUCGAAUGUCUGAGAAAAAUCAUUUAGCUUUAUUCUUUCUUUAUUUUUAUAUGAAAACUAAAAUGAGAAACGUAGUAACGAUUUCCUUAAAAAUUAUUUAAACAUUCGAUGAAACUUUAAUGUAACAAAUAAAUACACAUUUUUGUUGGCCUUUUUUAGUUUCAUGAUUAAAUUCAACAAUACACGCGAAUAUAUUAAUUAGUUCAAUUAAGAUCAAAUAUAUCCAUGUAAAGUCGAAAAAAAAACCAGUUUCAGCAUAUUAUUUGAUUGUAUGUACAUAUGCAGUAAAAAAGAAAUGAUAAAACUUUUCUUGUCUUAAGCGAAGUAACAAAAAUAUUUAUAACUAGAUUCUUAGAACAUUACACAAUUAUUUCAAUUAUAAUAAAAUGAAUGCAAUUUUUAUAACUAUUUGUUUCUUUUUAUUUCUUGUAUUUAUUGUUAGUAAAUUUACUUGAAAUGAAAGGUAACUCUUGGUUUUAAAUUCAAGUGAUAUACUGUACCUAAAUCAUCGUUAAAAUAAAUAUUUACUGCACUAAUUUAGAGACACCACAAACAUGCAAUACGUUUAAGAAUUCACUGGCAAUUCAAAAGUCUAUAUACAUAAUUUGUAUAUUUUAAACAUAUAUCGAAAGUUCUAAUCUUUUAUCUUAUUUUGAUUGUAUAAUGUUAUCAUUUGAACUCUAUCAAUAUUUAGAUUAUUGUUAUUUUGCCAGCUUUUUAAAUAUUAUGAAUUCAAUAGUGUAUCUCUUUAUUCGCUCUUAAUAAUUCAUUAUUUCUACAUUUUCUAAUAUUUGUACAAAAUUACUUACAAACUGCAAGGAUCCUCAUAUACUAUUUGAAUACAAGUAUUUCCUAUUAAAUCAGUGGAUAGUUUUGUUAUCACAUGAUCAUUUGUGGGCUCUUCGAGGGGGAUUUUAUUGGUUUUUCCGUGGUUUUUCCGUUGUGAAGAAUACAUUUUUUUUUGUAUUUAUAAUUGAUUCAGAGUAUAAACGAUAUUUAAUGUAAUAGAUAUAUAUAUAAUCAAUUUUAGUGGGUGUAAAUCAUAAACGAUUUCUUUCUUGUUAGAAAUAUUUACAUAUUUUGUAUGUUUAAUCCUCGGUUUAAUCUUUUCUGUCUGGAUAUUAUAAUACGACAGAUACACAGGGCAGACACAUACGAGCCUUACGUAUAUUAAUGCUGUCUCUUCCCUAAAUAUCCAAAAAUUGGGUCCAGUUGAGAUCAAUAAUUCUUUGAAAUUAAUAAUUCAUUGUUGGAACAAAGGUGGUGUGUUGACAUUUUCUUUAACAGAUUUAAGCAAUAUUUUUCAAACAGAAAAAAUAUAUAUAACCCUGCUGUAAAAGUCAGUUUGCUUUUAAGUAUAAGUUAUAAAUACAAUUCUUUCUGAACUAAUUUCUUUUUUAUUUAAUGUCAAGUUUAUGAAAGUUUUUCAUUUUUUCAUAUUAUGAACUGAAGAAUUCUGUAUUCUUAAUUCAAUUUGAGGGUUUAGUGUUUACUUUUUUUAAAUUGCAUUCAAGAUUACCCUAUUUAUCAUAUUUUUUACUACGAAAUAUUUUUUAAAAUACAUAUGAACAUACACAGACUUAGUUAUAGACUUAAUUAAAAUAUUCUUAAUUAUAUAUAUAUAUAUGCAAACGAAAUAAUCGAUCAAAUACAAUCGAUUAAAUACAAGUCUGUUAGUCCGUUACAAGUAUUUUUUCUGGUUGUAUUUAGAGAUGGUAUCACAUAAUUCUUACUAAGAAGAAGUAGUUCUAUGAAUAACUUGAUCUCUUAUAUUUGUUUUAUGUUAAAAAAAAAUAGUGGGUAAUUGGUAGAAUAUUUUUGAAUAUUGUCCAAAGUAGAUAUUUAAAGCAAUAUUGCAUACUUAAUUUUGCUACUGUUUUACAUGUAGUAAAUAUUACACUAAUUAACAACAAUUAGGGAAAUCAUUAAUUAACUAUUAUUAUUUUUUGGAUUAUUUCUGGGGCAAAGUCAGCUACUGUUUCUUAAUACAUGUUCUUUAAAAAUAAGUUACACCUUGCCAAUUUUCUAAAACGAAUAUAUCUUAUGAAUGGUCCUCCCUAUGAUGUUAGCAAGGUUACCACAAGACCAUAUAAUUCAAAUGAAUAAUUAUAUAAAGACAAAAUAUCUAUUAUAAUUAUUUAUAUUUUUUUAUUUAAUUAUAUUAAGGUGGUGUCGUAUUGUUUCAGUUCUAAAGCAUAAUACAUUAUAUUUGGAAUGACAAUUGGAAUAAUAGAUAGACUAUUAUUGAUAACAGUUAAUAUAAAUUAAAAAAAAACUGUAGAAAAAUUGUUAAAAGUUAUUAUACACUGCAGUUUAUAUAUGAAAGAAAAUAAGAUUUGAUCGUAGGUGCAUUCGAUUCACAUAUUCAUUGAAUUAUUUUUUCGUCUGGCUUAAGGUCAAAAAGCAUGUCGGGUUUUUUGGGGGGAUUUUUACAGAACGGCCUUAGUUCUGGAUUGGUUUUUUUAUUUACAAGUUUUAGGACUAAGACAGCUUUGUUGUCCCCUGUUGAAUAAGUUUCAGUUACUUUUUUGUAACCAGAGAGAAAUUUUCUCUUUAAAAGAUAAAUUAACUUAAACGGUGGCUAUGUUGGUUUUCAAAGUUUUGAAAUUAUAAACCCUCUAAUUGAAGCUCAGUUUUCUUUCAUAUCUACAUUUGAUAGCGAAAAGUAUGUUUGUCGAUGCCUUUUUGUUAAUGUGAAUAACUUAAAUUCCAAUUAAAUAAAAUUUGAAAUUUAGCAGAUUAUAACAGUGACAUAUUGUUAAUAUGAAAAAAUAUUCGGUGCAAUUAUUGCGAAACAUUAUUAUUCCACGAUGUAGAAAAAAGGGAAAGUAAAAGAAUCUAACACAUAGGCCUAAAUCGAAUUGUAUAAUUUGUUUAUUGUACUGACCUCACUCUUGGAAUCUUUCCUUAUACAAACUGGUGUAAGGGCAGUUAGAUUAAGAUUUAUUUUUAUGUUUUUACUUUUGCCACUCAUUUACGAAAUACACACGACUUUUCGAAGGAAAAAAAAAAUCCUUUCAACCCACGAAUAAUAACUGAAAAUUUAGUUGGGAAAGGGACAAUCUAAACUAUCUAAUGUUGACCUUAACAUAGUAGCAUAUAAAUCCUGAAAUUUCAUGCAUUUCUUUAAACUGCGUUUACUUGCCUUAUUUUGUUUUGUUUUUUGUUUAUUCCAAAAGUAAAACAUAUACUGCAUGAAAUAUUAUUAAAUUUAUACUAAAACGAGCCUGUAACUUAUAUGUGCAAGAAGAUAUAAAAACUUAUCAAAGACACUAGGCUUAUAAUUGUGUGCGCCAGACGUGUGUUUCCUUUACAAUAGACGCAUUAGUGACUCGAAAUAAUAAGUGAAAAUGCCAAAUAAAGAAUGAAAUUGAAGACUAUGAAGGGCUAAACAUUCCUCAAAAAAUUGCCAAAUACAGCUAAGGUAAUGUAUUCCUUUGUUGAAAAAUUCUUUGCAUUGCGAAUAACUCAAAGUUUUGAAAACAGUUAAUUUAUCUAUAUUAAAAUUUCAAUGACAUGAAAAGAGAAUUAUAUUUUAAAAAUUUUUGUAGGAAGAAAUCAAAGGGAUAAUAAAAAAGGAAAUUAUUAUGGAUAUUAUCAUUAAAUGCGGAAAACUUUAUUAUCAUUAAUUAUCUUUUAUUUCAUUACCAACCGAUAAUGAAACUUUAUUAACCAAUUUCAAAUUAAUCGCAACUUUAUUUCCUGGUAGUAAAAAUGAAAUCAAAACCUUAUAAAUUUCAUUCGUCUAAAGCGUUUUUCUUGGUUCAAGUCUCAACGCUGAAUAUUUGAAAUACAAAAAUAUAUAAGAACCGAUUUUUGUUUUUUUUUUAAUCACCAAAUACUUAACACGAGUGAACAAAUGUUAGCUUUGUCUUUUUUCUAGUUUUUAAUUUGUUUAUAUAUUUUCAUCUUUUUUAUAUUUCAUUUGUAAGCUUAAUUUCUUUCGUAUGGUUAAAAAACAGUCGUCUGUUUACAUAAAAUAACCUGAUAUGCAGUUUAAUAAUAUACACUACACUGUUUAGUCAAACUGCAUACGACAAAAGUUAUGACAAAUCGUAACUUGGGACACUUACGAAAACAUAUCUUACGACUAUGACAUGUCCUAAGGCCAUCAUAAGACAUGUCUUAGUCAUAAGAUACUUUCGAAAACCAGGCCCCAGAAUCACAAACUGAAUAACCGAAAUAAUGGUAUUUAAUUUAAAAUUGAUAGAAAUUCUUGUGACACAGAAAGUUAGAACUUAAAAAAAUUGUAUAUAUAGGUAGUUUUCAUUUCCACAAAAUAAAUAGAUUUAUAUCUCCUUAUCUGUAGUUAUACUUGGGUAUUGGAUUAUUACUUAUGAUAAUUUUUUUGUUUUACAUCGAUGAACCUUCAAAUAUAAAUAUUUGUAGUAAACCUGACGUGCCCCACAUAAUAUUUAUUUUUAAAUGUGUUCACAAUAUUAUAGCCCUAUGUGAUUUCUUAUAGCUGAUUAUUCGUAUAUAGACCUAUUUUGAAAUCUAAAGAUACAAGACUUUUAUUAAUAAAAGUAAAGAGGAAUCUCUAAUUCAUGAAAAAUUCUAAUUCUAUUGUCUAUAUGACGAAUUUCUUUUUCGUUGAAUGUUAUUACAUUUUGAACUUUUCUUUUGUUAAUUGAAAAAUGAUUCGGUGAAUACAUAGAUAUAAGAAGAUGAUUCGGUGAAUACAUAGAUAUAAGAAGAUGAUUCGGUGAAUACAUAGAUAUAAGAAGAUGAAGAAUUAGCACUUACAUAAGAAUUUUAGGAAAUAAAUAUUUCAUAUAAAUAUAUAUAUUUACAACAGGCGAAGUGUUAAACUGUCGAAAAAAGUCAGAAUUUUAUUUCUGUAUAUUAAUGAAUUGAAUAUGCCGGAAAAUGUUAUAAAUUCCUAUUGUAUAAAGUACACAUUUGUAAAAUUAUUAAUAUCUAUUAUUAGACAAUGCCUUAACAAUUCUGUUUAGUUUUAAAGUAUAAAGUUAAAAUAGAAAUAAGUAACUUAUGAAAUAUCUUAUAUUAGUAAUUUUAUAGUACUUGAUUUUGCUCCUACAUGAAAUUAUAAUAAUUUUGUAUUUCCCAGAACAGUGUUUCUCUAAAUUGAUAAGUUUGUCCGUCAUUUAACCAUUGUCUAAUGUAUAAUUCUAUUGCCCUUGUUCAAGUCUACCUCUAAGACAAUGAUUAAAAGUAAUUGAAGAUGAUAUUUACAACUUUGAAAUUUGCUUUUCUGAUAAUGAAUAAUUGUUAUUUACAGAUUUCAACGUUUCUCAAUAUUUUAAUUUAUUAUGAGUGCAGUAUGUUUUAUAAAUAAUAUUUCUUUAAUUCUUAUUUAUCGACUGUUUAUAUGAAUGUUCGAUUGAUCUAUAAUUCAUUAUGCAUUAACACCGGCUUGUAAUAAUGAACUCCCAUGUGAGGUCCCCUUUUUAUGCACCAGUGUUCAGGUCAUGAUUCAGUCUGGAAAAUUGAUCACGUGACGGCGCGACGUUUAUGUAACGAUCUUCAGAUGUUUAAUUAAUAAUUUGUUAAAUUAUCUGUCUGAAUUUUUAGCUUUGCUUACCUUCAUUUGUAGUUUAAUAAAUAAAACAUCCAUAAUCCAAACAAAAUGAAAGCGUGUUUAGAAUUGUGUGCUAAUACGAAGCAAGACUGAGUUUUUGUUUAAUUUCACCUUUUUCAAUAUAAUGAAUAUUUGAUUGGAUAUUUUUUAUAAUAUGCAGAUGAUUUUUUUCUUUGCUCUGAUAAUCAAAAUAAUUUAGCACAAACACUUAAAUAUUUUUUUUCCAAAUUAAUAAUCUAAAAAAAGUUUAUAAAAAACUGAUUGAGUUAUGCUGGUUUUUUUUUUCGCAAAACAAAAUUAGUCAUAGUCAAUAAGUUUGAAUAAGUAUUGCAAUAUUCCAAAAAUUAAUAAUGAAAAGUAGUUAAAAAGGUAAAAUUUCUAAGUAAAGGGCAUUUCAAAUAUUUUACAUGUUAAAAUAAUAAAAUUUCCUAUGUGCUUUACUUCUGUAAAAAAAACCUUUCAAAACUGUUCAAAAAUAGUUUUUACAGAACAUAAUGGAAUGGAGCUAUAUACAUGGGCACUCACACCCAAUCUUCCUAUAUCUAUAGAUAAUAUGUAUAUAUCCAUACAUAAAGGAUAAUAUGUGGAUAUAUCUCAGAUAUAUAUAUAGCAAAAUAUACAGUUAUUGUCAAAAUAAUUUUAGUCGCAUUUAUAUAGAUGAUGUGGUAUAGGUGCCAAUGAGACAACUUUCCAUCCAAGUCAUAAUUUGUAAAUGUAAAUCAUAUAUGCAUAUUUACAUUUAAAAACAUUACAAUUAGACUAUUGAUUUUUUUAAAUCUAAAUAUUAUAUAAUAUUCAUCAGUUCUGUCCUUCAAUGUAUCAAUAAGUGUAAAUGCAUUAGGAAAGACCACCAAAGAAGAAUAAAAGUCAUAAAGCUUAUAGCUUUGUAUGUUAUUGUCAUACAUGUUUUCUAAUAACAAUUACAUUUAGUACCAGGACUAUCUAAUAGUGUUGAAACAUGUUCAAAUAUGCAUAUGAUUCAUAUAAUUAUGAAUCAAUUUCUAUUGGCUUUCAACCUUUCAUAAUAAAUUACUAAUCAUGACUUUGAACUAUAGUCUAAAAUAUUUAAUGCAUUGGUUGUAUUAACACAACAAAUAUAUAAAAAUGAUAAAAAAUCCAAAUAUUCAGAAUAAUUUUUAAUUUACAUAUUUUGCUGCAGUAAGCGAAAUUUUGAUACGAUUUUGUGUGCGCAUAAAUCAAAGUAUUAUAUUAUAUUUUUGACAUCCUAACGAAGGCAGGAAAUAAUUUGAAUUACUUUAUAAAAAACCUCCUGUAUCUUUAAUUUGUUUUCAGUUUAACGGUGUAAGCUUUUUUAUGAUAAAAAAAGUUGUUUAUUUCCAAACGAAUGAUAAAUGUUAUUCAAUAUGCAGUCAGUGCAUAGCCGCCAUUUUGAAAAGCAUGAGGUUUAUCCGCCCUUUUAGGUCUGAGAAACAACAUGAAAAUUCAAGCAGGUAAAUACGUUUGCAUGUAUUCGAAUACAAGAAUAAUCAAGUAAAUGGUAUUUGAAAAAGAUAUUUAUUACUUUUAUGUCUACAAAUACGGAGAAAUUUGUUAUUAAAUGCACUUAAUGCAUACGUCACGUAAAAUAUAUAUCACAGGUGCAUUACGCUUGUUUUCAGCUUGUUUAAUAUUCCCUCCAAAAAUAUCAUUUAAUAGAUACAAUCACUUCUUUUCAUUCUACUAUUUUCAUCUUAAUUUCGGACAACUUUACGUAUUGUGUCGCAUAUAACUGAAAAACUUUUCUUAACAUAUGUCCAAAUAUGUAAGAAUAUUGUUCAGAUAUGAAAAAAUCGGGUAUUGGAUAUAUAAACUUUUGCACAUAUAUUAGUAAGUUUUUCACCCUUUUUAUUUGUACAAUUCUGAACAAUAUUGAACAGUACCACAUUUACAAUAUAAGGAUGUGGUAAUAUCUGUAUGUGCUUUGCAAUUGAAAUUCCAGAUGAAAGCUUUGGACGCAAUUAAUUUAUAAACUGUGGUUUUCAUAUUCCUUAUACGGAUGAUAGAAGGUCUUGUAAUUAAAUAUAUAAUACAUAUUGGUAUACUUAUACUAAGAAAAAAUGAUAUUUGAUUAAAAUUAUAAAAAGAGUGUGUCAAUUUGCUGUUAUUCGUUAAUAUUACUUUGCACAAAUUAUAAAUAGUGUAUUUUUAUGAAAUAUCCUUCACUAGAUUUUGUUCACUGACGUUUCAGAGAGCCAAACUAAACUAAAAAGGUCAAGUAAGGACUUAACAAAAUAUCAUUCAACAAUACACAAUUUUAAAUAGAUAUAAGAGUAUAAAUUUGUUAAUGCUAUUUUGAGAUUUAAAUGCACUUGUUCAUUCACACGAAUAUAUAAAUAUAUUUGCUAAAAAUUUUCAGCAUAAAAAUCUAUUUCUAACACUGUUUGGUGUAAUUUUCAGAGUUAUAUUGUGUGUAAAACUAUUAUUAGUACUCUACAAAAUGUCAUUUAUAAAUAAUAUCACUGUUUGGGUUUCAAUUCUGGAAAAAUUAAAACGCAAAAUUAUGAUCAAUUUAAAAAACAUUUUAGGUCCCAACCCAAUUAAUUAUUGAGACUUUAAUUAAAUAAUAUAAGUGAUGGUAGCAAGAAUGAUAUUAUCUCCCUUGAAAUGAACUUGCUAAUGAAUUAUCAUAAUUGUAUAUUGAUAAUGAACAUUUUAUCUUCAGAACCACUUUUAUUUGGUUUUGUAACAAAAACACAUACUGGUACCUGCAUGCGUCCAUGCUCAAUUCAACUCUACUUUAAUGUAUCAAAUUUUAACCAAAAAAAGUUUCGAACUUUAUAUGUCCCCCUUUAACCUUUGAUAUCCGUUCUCAUUAAAUUGUAAUAAGAUGACUAGAGGCCAGCUAAGCAAAUAUAUAUUUAUAUACAUAUCAAGAGGAAAAACCAAACACACAUAGUAUGGUAUGAGGAAACAGCAAAAGCUAUAGUAAGGAUUUCAAGAAUUUACUUCAACCCCCACCCAAUGAAUCAUUUAAAAGAAAACUCAGAAGAUAGAUGACAGAAGAUGAGACGAAACCGAUAUAAGAAAAAAAUUAGAUAACACCAAACCGAAGUAUGGUUUAAAUGGCACCAACAGUACCAAUUUUACUACAACUGUUCGAUAACUACCAUUGAAAUGGGCACAAGCAUUUUUGACAUUUUUCGUCCUUCUCCUCAUUAAAAGAAUAACUACUCGUUUGCCUAAAUGUCUAAAAAUGCAGCUUUGGGCAUGCUUUUGGGAUUUGUUAAUUGAUUAACGGUUUUACAACCAAAAUAUUGAAAUCUCUAAUGCAACAGAAUGGACUGUGAUCUAAUGAAUUUGGUAGACCUUUUAAAAUUAGACUUGGUGUGAGUUCAGUUGAAAUCGGCACUACUCAUUUAUUUUACAAUGACAGAACAGGCAGUAACGAAUUAUUUACGGACUAAAAGUAUUCCUCUAUUGAGUUGGGAUCAUUGACUUGCUGCAGUGCUCUCUUUCGACGUCUUUCACACGGAAAAUAUCUAAAUAGUAUGCAAAAAAAGAUGAAAAUCUUACUCGAAUAUCAGAUGAAAUAUGGAAUGCUGACCAGUUUAGUGUGUUUUUAAGAUGCAUUUGUCCAUAUGGCCGUAGCUUAGCGAGAAAGAAUGCAUGAGACACAAAAAUCUGACAUACUUUAUAACAGUUUGGCAUGGUUUUAUUAACUAAAAAUAAUGUUUUUUCAUGAUUGAAAGUCUUGUUAUAUUAAAGAAGUCUGAGCCGGAAAAUGAAAGAAAGUAGGGGAAAUAAAACACUUCCUAAUUGUACAAUGUGUCAAUUAUAUCAGUGAAGUGUUCCAGGAUACUAAUGUGCAAAAUGAGCAUGGGCUUCAAAUAGUAUUAAAAAACUCAAAGUUAACAAAACAAUUUAUCUUUCAGGCAUGCCUAUUUUAGUAACCAUCGUCAUGAUAAACAUAAACUGUUAUUUUGUUUUGAAGAAAAAUUUUCGUUUUCCAUACAGAAAAUCCUUAUAGCAGCAAAUAGGACUAUAUUUCCAUAAAAAUGAAGACCCUUAGAAUAGUUUAUGGAGUUGAAGGUUAUUGAUUCAUUGGUGUAUACCCGAUAAUUACAGAAAAGGGACAACAGAAUUGCCAAACUAAAUUCCAGGAUCCGCUGUAAGGAUGAUAUUCCGUUUAAUACAGAUACCACCUCAAUCUGAUAUAUUUCUGUCGACUUACAGUCAUGCUUCUUAUAAAAUUCAUGAGAUUUUCUAAGUUUUUUUUAUUUAUCUUCUUAAUCGAUUGAUGAAAUUCCUUACUGUUGUCAAUAUAUCCUAUUAAACUGACACAGUCAAUUCUAGCCCCUAGCACACCAGAUUCAGGUUAAAUCUAACCUGAUCAAAUGUUUAAGACAACACUGCCCGAGGAAAUGAAGACCAGAAUAACAAAAAUAAUAAUCUGGGAAUGCAUCAGCGAGAAUUUGACAUUCAUUUAGCUACUGUUCUAUAUCUAGCAAUAUGUACUCUUGAGGAAAGUGUUCUAAACGAAAUCGCGCUUGUUGUGCUUACUGAUAAACCUGGUAUCAUUGAUGGAGUUUUCCCCUUCAAAACGAUGAAAUACAGUAGUGUAGGGUUCUUUCUUUUUUGUUUUUAGAUAUCUUUUUUUAUCUUAACUGGAUAUUUUCAUUAUUUACAUGCUUGAUAACUAUUUAGUUGAGAUUCCAAUUACCGACAAUAAAACCAUGUAACUAAAUCUGCGAAACUUAGUAGUAAAUAGGGUGCUUAGGGUAUAAUAGAAAAGAAGGCAGGCAACGAAAUGCACUUGUCAUAUAAUAUAAGAUAGACAAAAAACAUCUUACUUGACUUUAACGGUAUUUGAUUCGCGAAUCAAAAUGAAAUUAUUAUGACCCAAAAUGAAGAAAAUGCUUAUACAUUAAAAAUAACGUCGUCUAUAUCACAUAGAUAAAACGUUAAGCCGAAAGUAGAUUGCUGAUGUUUGAAUCUCGUAACUCGAUUUUAAAACGACAAAUCAAGGUAACACACAUAAACUGGGGGAAAACUAGAACUCCAAAAAGGAGCAAAAAGUUGUGCGUCGAAAAGGUACGCACCUCUUACUAUACAUGCGCGAAGCCAAACUAGGUCAAUGAACUCCAAAAGGAGCUAGAACUGGUGCGUCGACAUGGUACGCAACUCCUACUAUGCAUGCACGAAUCCUAACUCAGUCAAAUUUCUUAAUCAAUUAAGAUUGCAAGGUACUCGAUAGUUAUCAAAGGUACCAGAAUUAUAAUUUAAUAUGCCAGACGCGCGUUUCGUCUUUAUAAGACUCAUAAGUGAAGAUCAGAUCUAAAUAGUUAUAAAGCGAAACAAGAACAAAGAAGAAGGGCAUUGGGGACCCAAAAUUCCAAAAAGUUGUACCAAAUACGGAUAAGGUAAUCUAUUCCUGGGAUAAGAAAAUUCCUUAGUUUUACGAAAAGUUAAAAGUUUUGUCAACAGGGAAUUUACUAUAAUGACAUAUCUUCAUAUUAAAAUGUGUUCUUUUAUAAGUGUUAUGCAUGUUCACUGAAGGAAUGUAUAGUUCAGAAAGUUUGCUAAAUAUAACGUUGUCCGAUGAAAACCCUGGUUUCAAGUAUAGAAAAAUUAAAAAAUGAAUAGCAAUUUAGUUAUGAAAAAGAUAUGGAAAAAGAUUGUAUGUUUGACAAUGUACUUAUUUCGAAAUUUGAAUAAAACUGUUUGCUGUCUAAAGAAAUAAUAUACCUGAAAAUGCCGUCAAAGUUUCUAUUAUGACAUAAAACGUUGAUUCCUCUUAAGAUUUGAAUGAAUUAACUGUGCUUUAAUAAUGUACCAUUAAACUAUAUUAAAACUAAUUCAAAUGAUGUAUGCACAGACCAUUUGUUUCAUUAAAAAGCAAUUCAUUGAUCUUUUGAUAAUGAUUUUUAAGUCGUGUAAUAUUUUUAUUUCUUUUUCACAGAUUUUAAUCACAAAAUUACCUAAUAUACCAAAAAAUAUAUAUCUUCUUAGCAUUACAAAUAAUCCUAAGAAUAUAUAUUUUUCUAAUUUUAAAAAUGUGAAAUAUUCGUAAACAUGUAUACAUAUUCAUUAAGGAUUAAUCAAAGAGUAUAGAACAUGAACUAGAACAAGAACAUAUUUUAUUACCAAUUAAGUAUUCAAAGGGGGGAUGAAAAGUUGUAUACCUUAUUUUAAACUGGGGAGAUAUAGUGCUUUGCCGUUUGUAUAGACAAUCGUUUUAGUUAAAGACUGUAUGCUAACAUUUUCUUCAUCAAGUCGUAUUACAGUUUCCCUGGUGUGUUAACGACAUCACACUGUAUACAUAUUGAAAACAAAUUAUUUGAAAUUGUUCUAUGUAUAUUUCAUAGAUACACUCCAUACUAUAUCAUUAGAUGAUCACAUUUUACUUAGUAGAUAUCAUAAAAAGGAACCUUCUAGGCAUAAGGUACCCUUAAUAUUUUAAUAUUCGAAGUUUACACUGAAUGUAGUAUCAAAAGUAUUAUAUUAGAAGAAAGCAAUAGGAGUCCCCUUCAAAUUAUAUUAGAAGACAAAAAAUAGGAACCCUCUUAGUAUCAAAUUAGAAGAGAAAGUUGUAGGCACCCUCUUAGUUUAGUAUUACACAAUCAAUUUUUGCCUUUUCCAUUUGAAGGUAGUCAAUCGACGUCAGAUGAAAAAUUAGUAAAACAGAUUAAAAGUAGAGGCACCAGUUAUUUACCAUUGUUCACAGAUGGUACAUAGAAUUAAAUUUAAAUAAAAAACAAAAAAAAAAAAAAAAAAAAAAAAAAAAAAAAAAAAACAAGAGAAUAGUCUGAUUUCUGUUGACAUGAAUAUCAAUAAUGUGGUCAUUUUUAUAAAUUUCCUGUUUACAAAACUUUGAAUUUUGUACUUGUUUGGCUUUAUAAAUAUUUUGAUAUGAGCGUCACUGAUGAGUCUUAUGUAGACGAAACGCGCGUCUGGCGUACUAAAUUAUAAUCCUGGUACCUUUGAUAACUAUUUACACCACUGGGUCGAUGCCACUGCUGGUGGACGUUUCGUCCCGAAGGGUAUCACCAGCCCAGUAGUCAACACUUCGCUGUUGACAUGAAUAUCAAUAAUGUGGUCAUUUUUAUAAAUUUCCUGUUUACAAAACUUUGAAUUUUUCGAAAAACUAAGGAUUUUCUUAUCCCAGGCAUAGAUUACCUUAGAUGUAUUUGGCACAACUUUUUUGGAAUUUUGGAUCCUCAAUGCUCUUCAACUUUGUACUUGUUUGGCUUUAUAAAUAUUUUGAUAUGAGCGUCACUGAUGAGUCUUAUGUAGACGAAACGCGCGUCUGGCGUACUAAAUUAUAAUCCUAGUACCUUUGAUAACUAUUCCAAACAGAAAAAUGUAAAAUCACACAAUUACUGAACUCCGAGGUAAAUUAAAAACGGAAAGUCCCUAAUCAAAAUCAAAAGCUCAAAAAAAAAAAAAGAAAGAGAUUGAUUCGGGUAUGUUAACUAAUGGCUCUUGCCAUUGUCACCCUACUAGGAAUGGUAAACAGUUAUUAUAAGGAAUAGGACGCAAUUGGUAAAUUCGCAGGUACUAAACAGCUAGAUGUCUUAAAAGAAUGCGAAAACUAACGGAUAUAAAUUGAAAAUAAAAUCAGAACAUUGGCAUAUAAGUUUUCGGUCAACAAAUAUUUUUUAAUCGAUUUCAUUUACGAAAAUUAGAAAAAACAUCAACAAAACAAACUGUGCUGUACUUGGUAUAUUUGAUUACUAUUUAAAACCGUUAGAGAUCCUUCACUAUUGGUAUUGGAACUUAUUUUAUAUUUAUUUCCACUUUUUUUUUGUGUAAUGAAUCCAGUGAAGCUGAAAAUAAAAGUUGUACUGGCGUCACCACUCUUUAAUUCUUUUAAAAUGAAAAUCCUAAAAAUUAUAAUUAAAUGAUAAAAAAAAAAAUAAAGGGACUUAAUUCAAAGAGUUAUCUUAUCUUAUAAAAAACUGUCUGAUGUAUGUCAAUCACCAAUUAUGAAUUUCUUUUUACGAAACAACCAUUCAAUUUGACUUGUUGAUUAAUACCCUUUAUAGAUAAACUAAUGAAAUAAGAACAAGAAUCAUAAUUUUGUUGUUAUACCAAAUCUAUUUUUUGUGAACUUUCUCAUGCUAUCAAGAUUUAAAUUUUCAGUGCUAGAUUAUGGAAAUAUGACAUUUUGUAUUGGUAAUUGAUAAUUUUUUAUAUCCACAAAAUGACCUUCAAACGCAGUUUAUUUAACAGAGAGCUGAAUGAGCGAUGGCUAAAUCCAUUAUUAACUUAGGAAGUUCAUGUGUAGAAAAAUUGAAUUAAAAAAUAUCAUAAACUUAAAAAAAUAAUCGGUUUUAUUGUAAUCAUUAUUAUCACGUCAUCAGGGCAUUCAGACUCGUAAAUUUGUUGUUGUUUAGUGCAAUGGGUUUGUUUAGUACAGUUAUAAUAUAUAAGGUGUAUGUUGGCUUUAAAUAAUGACCUUACUUAGUAGACAGUCUUGUAUAUAUUAAUACAGCUAUUCAUCUAAUCUUUGGAGAGAACUGGAACUUUUUAUUUUCCUCAACAUCUACAAUAAUACAUGGGGACUCAGUUGUUAUGAAUAAGACAAACUAUAUUUCAUGAUUCUUCCCUAAUAUUUGUUUUACUAUUGUUAAAAAGUUUUAAAAUUUAGUCUUAAAGAAAGGUAAAAUAUAAAUACAAGUACCUUUACAGCAAGCCUCUUGAUCAGUUGGUUAGUUUUAGUUGAAAACAUUAAAUGCAAGAGGGCCUAAACAGAAAUUUCAACACUGCCUAAAACGUUGAGAAAUCACUUCGGAUUUAUAUAUCUAUAAAGAUUAUUGUGUUAAAAUUUUCCCUCACAGGUUUUUAAUUCUCUGUUAUGAUAUGCAUUUACUAAUAUCAUCAAUAAAUCAAAAUAUGGAUGUCCAAAAGCAGGUGAAAAAGCAAACUAUUAAGUAUGCGUGGUGGGGAAAUAAAUCGCCUUCAAAAAUGCUUAGUAAAAUGUAAGAUGGAUGAACCUAAUAUAUUAUAACACCCAAAUCAAUCUGAGGUCAACUUAACCUGAGGGAGUUAGUUAACGAUUAUCAGCAAGGUAGAAGGUGUUUAACGGUCAAGCUGACAAAGAGAUGACUUUCAAAGCUGAUGCAGGGAUGACUUUCAAACCUGAUGAAUGAAUGACUUUUAGUGAAGGUUAUUUGUUGUUGCAGCUGCAUAAGCUUUUGGACUGCAGUAUUAUGACGAACUAAAAUCGACACUUCACGAAGUUGAUGGUCAUCAUCACGAAUUGGUUGACUAUACGGUGCAUAUGUGUCUCAAAUCACAACAGACAGAUUUUAGAUGACUUAGAUCUUUCGAUUAGUUGAAAAAUUGCUAAUUGAGUCCUACUUGUUAUUGUGACAUUUUGACUAAGUGUGGAUUUGCAUGGCAGGAAAUGACGGAAUACCUAGCCUGGCGAUGCACCCGCGGUCUCGUUUCCUUUGGAAUGCAUGCGAUUUGCAUAUUCUAGAUUCAAACAUCAGUAAAAUAUAAAUGCCACCUUUUUCUGGUGUCCAAGAAUUAGAUUAAAGUAUGGUAUCUUUUCAAAUUAGAAUUUCCUCAUUGUCAGAUUAUUUUGGUUUUAAGUCGGGUUACCCCUACUGUCUCCUAUUUCUAUCGUGCUAUUUUACUUAUUUGGACGUGUAGGUUUAUGUAAAAUUUCGAUGCAAACUAAGACUGUAUAUGCCAACAUGUGCAUACAAUAUGAUAUGUUAAGUAGUUAUCAAAGGUACCAGGAUUAUAAUUUAGUAUGCGAGGCGCGCGUUUCGUCUACAUAAGACUCAGCAGUGACGCUCAUAUCAAAAUAUUUUUAAAGCCAAACAAGUACAAAGUUGAAGAGCAUUGAGGUUCAAAAAUUCCCAAAAGUUGCUGUAGUUUGUAUUAUUUAAUACUGCAGGAAAAAUUUUAAAUAUGACAAUGGAGUUUUCAAUAUCAUGAUUAAAAAAUGUAGGACUACCACAGAAUUAAAAAGUUGAAAACGAGGAGGCACAAAAGCAUGAUUUCCACCACUAAAUGUAAAAAAAACCACCACAAUUAUAGAUUGGAAUUAUUUUAUAUUUGUACAACAUUACAUUGUACCCUAAACAUAUUUUUGACUUCUCUCUCUCAAAAAAAAAAAGAAAAAAAAAGACUGAAAAUUAUAAAGUUUACCCUGUAUAAGACUAAGAUGAGAAAAACAUAUUUUUUUUUAAUUUAUUAUAAUCGCAUCAUGGCAAAACUAAAGCAAAGAUAAAAAUAAAACUUAAAGCACUGAUCAAGACUGGUAGGUUUUCUGUCAUUCAACAGUAGGCGCUAGUAGUAUAUAAGAGUUUAAACUCUGUAAUCUAUACAUUUAAUUUAAAACUUAAGUGAAUCAACAAAUUAAAAGACGUAGAGAAAAAUAACUUCCGGUUCAUUUAGGUUGGGGUUACUUAAACAUGGCGUCUCCCGCUCCUGUUAUCCUUGUGUUUCGUGUUUUAUCAAUUUAAAGUAGUACACAAUUAAGCAGGUAAUAUCUUGUAUUGUUUAAAGGUCGGCUAGAUGUAAUUAAACUUCAUUUGAUUUCAACAGGUCUGAAAAAUCAUUAAAGUACAACAGCAACACCGUUUAUCUUAAUGUAUUGGUAUUUGCAAUCUGUGUGAGCUAUCUUAUAAUGUAUUAUUUCAAAACGCAAUAAAUAAGCCAAAAUUGAUGAAUUAACCCUAACAGAUUUGAAUAUCAAUUAUAUGAUAUACAGAUAUGUUCCAGAGUUUGCUAAAGACGAAAUUCAGAUCGAAAUAUGUGCCAUGAAAAAAUAUUUUCGUGUUUUAAUCCAUUGAGUUAAUCAAAUGGAAUGCAAUGAAGUUUAUGUAUUACCAUAAUGUAUUAUUAUACUUUUCACUGUAUCUAAUUAUACCUUCACAGAAAGGUAUCUACUAAAAGUUGAGAUAUUUGUCAUUUAAUUAAUCAUGUGACCUCGUAUCUACUAAUUAACGUUGCAUGCAUACAUUAGUAAUUUUUCUGUAGCAAUGGCCAGAUGGCUGACAAUUCCGACAUAGCUCACACAUUCUUGUACCGUAUCUAUAGCAAAGGAGAGGAUACAACUAUACUCUGAGCAAAGUUGUCUAUCUUUGAUACAAAAUAUUUAAAUGAGAGAUAUUUAAGAUAUACUUAAAUACCAAACAUAAAAAACUUAUUAUUUACCAUUUGACUAAAAUCAUAUGAUAUCAUAGUUCGAGCCAAAGCAGAGGGAAAAAGUACUUUGUAUUGUCCAAAUUGUUCUUUACUGACGAGCUUUUAAUGUUGAAGCUGUAAUGUUGUUAUAUAUAAUGAAUAUAUAUUUUGACAACAUAGUUGAUACUCUUACAGUUGUUGGCUUAUAUUUUUAAAGCUAUGUAUAAAACUUUUUUUUUAUAUUUUCCAGUAAAACAGGGAUAGUUGAAGCUGUAAUGUUGUUAUAUAUAAUGAAUAUAUAUUUUGACAACAUAGUUGAUACUCUUACAGUUGUUGACUUAUAUUUUUAAAGCUAUGUAUAAAACUUUUUUUUUAUAUUUUCCAGUAAAACAGGUAGUUAGAUCCCUCUAUAGUUCAGAUCCACCAUUUUCUACAUAAGAAAAUGCCUGUACCAAGUCAGGACUAUGACAGUUGUUAUCCAUUCGUUUGGUGUGUUUGAACUUUUGAUUUUGCCAUUUGAUUGGGGACUUUCCUUUUUGAAUUUUCCUUGGAGUUCAGUAUUUUUGUGAUUUUACUUUUUACCAAAGAUCUAUAAUUGAAGAAGAUGUUUUUAUGUCAAGUUUUUCACAGAGGUACCUCAAACUCGAUUUACCUUCUUAUUUCAACUGCAUGAUAAAUAGCCAGCAUAGUGCUGGCUACAUUAAAAAUUAAUCUGUUUUCCAAAAUAAAUAUUAUUUAGUAUGUCUACCGAAAAUGGCUGAAAACAAAAAUGGAAUUUUCCCGCUCUUUGCUCUUUUCGGCAUGAUGUGUUUACUUUAAGGUACCUCUGUGAAAAAAAACUUGACAUAAAAACAUCUUCUUCAAUAAUAGAUCUUUGGUAAAAAGUAAAAUUACAAAAAUACUGAACUCCAAGGAAAAUUCAAAAAGGAAAGUCCCCAUUCAAAUGGCAAAAUCAAAAGUUCAAACACAUCAAACGAAUGGAUAACAACUGUCAUAUUCCUGACUUGGUACAGGCAUUUUCUUAUGUAGAAAAUGGUGGAUUGAACCUGGUUUUAUAGCUAGCUAAACCUCUCACUUGUAUGACAGUCGCAUCAAAUUCUAUUAUAUUGUUACCGAUGCGUGAACAAAACAAACAGACACAAUAGGUAAAAAUGUCAAAAAUAGGGGUACAGCAGUAAACAUUAUGUUAUCAUCUUAAUCACUAUAAAAACAACAAAUGUAAACGAUGGAAGCCGUAUAGAAAUGACUUAAUAUGGGUUUGGCAGCUUUGAAAGCAAUGGUCGGUGUGAUUUUUGAAAAAAAAAGCUACAUAUGUUUAAGAAAACCGAAAGUUGGCAUAAAAAAUGCUUAAAGAAAACUGUACAACGAGAAGAGGAACUAAUACUAAAAUCCAUUAGUGCAAGGUGCAUUAAGAAAGGGUUGGUUAUUCAGUUUAGUCAAACUAUUCAAUAGGCAAUAGUCGAUACAAAUACUUAUUGGAGAUUUUAACCUUAAAUUUUGAAUUAAGUUUGUUAAAUCUUAAACGUUUAAUUUUUGGAGUUGAAAAAAGUGUGUUUUUUUUCAAUUCUGCUGAUAUUUAAACAAUAUCUUUACUAGCAAUUUCAUUUUGAUCGGGAACUGCUAACCAUCUUAUUGUACACCUUAUGACUGUGUUAGUGAUGAUAAGUCUUUAGUUUGAAGUUUAGUGUAUUGUGGCAUGUUAUUUGUCUUUUCUUUUUUCUGCCUUGGACCAUCGAAUUUGUCGUCUUUCUUCGAUGGAUGUGCCCUUUUAUAUCUUCCUAAUAUUUUUACAUUAUUCAUUACUUCAAUUGAGGCAUGAAAUGUAGAGAAAAAAAAUAAAUAUUUUUAUGAAUUUAACAUUUUAUCAGUAAUGUGGACUCGUGUAAUCAUUUUGUUUCAAGAUGUGACAAAUACAGGAGAUAGAACAGUGUCGAAAGUGCGUUCAGGUUUGAGCAAAUAUUUCUUUUGAUUCACUAUUAAAAUAGUUGAAUAAGAGAUGCAAUGUUCUACGUCUGAUGUUGCAUGGUAGAUACAUUGGGAAAUAAUUUACAAUAUAAAAAAAUCUACAAACUUCCAAAUCCCUUUUAGUAUAGACAUUAAAAGAAAGUCUUACCGAGAAAACAUAAAGAUAAUAAGAGUGUCUGUUAGACUGUUAUUAUGAAUGCAAAAGUGGUAGGAAUCUAACAUAAUCAUCCCGUUGAAGUCCCGUUGAAGAUGCCAGCACUUAUCAAUAAAUAUAUUGCAACUGUACAGCGUCGUAUACGUCAUCUAAAAAAAGCCUGACGUUACAGAAGGCACUAUGCCAUAAAUUCGAUUAGUCUCGCCAACAGUUUGAUCGAAAACUUGUUUUAAAAAUAUCACAAGUGUUAUCAAUCAAAUAUUGGAACAGCAAUACAGAAAAAUAGAAGUAAACGUCAAGAAGAGAAUGGAAGUGAAAAUGAAAAACAUUCGAAUAUUCGACAAAGGCAUAUAUUAGCAAGGAACACCGACAUUUUUUAAUCAGGUUUAAAGCAGACACAUCGGAUCGAAGCCUUUAAAAACAGAUGUAUAUAAUUAGACACGUUGUCAUAGACAUUUUGACACCAGAGAAAACAGUACAUAUAAACUUGCAAAUUCCCAAAAAAAAGAGAGUAUAUCAAAGUGCAAAAAAUACAGAAAUUGUUAAUUUCAUUCUGGAUUUAUCUUACGGAAUUUUCAGAAACAUACACCAAACACGUAUUAGUAGAUAGAGCUUUAAGACAAAAAUGUGUUCGAGUUCUUUGGGUCUUCAAAAAAGAGAUUUAUAUGGUGUUUUUUUCUUAUAAUUGGCACAGAAAAAAAGCAAAGAUUGCUUACAAUAAAGCAACCAAAAACUUUAAGUUAUUAGUUUUUAAAGAUGUAUAUAACUCAGACGGACUUUAGAUACUUUUUAUAAGUCGCACUCCGCCUUUUUUCACAGGCACUGUGUAGUUCGAAUAUAUAAACUCUGCAUUGCAAAAAAACAACAAUGUUGGAUUCUUUAUAUGAUGCCUUACAAAGAUAAAAAAUACAAAUAGAUAUUUUACUCAAACAGACAAAUUGUUGUGGCUUUAAGUCGAUCAGUUUUCAGUGUUUCAAAUUCUAAAUGCCGAGUGCAUGCUUUGUGGAGAAGCAGUAAACACAUAUUUUAACUUAAGCUUGACCCAACAUAUAUAGGAUCUACCCAUAUACUUUCUGUUUAAACUAUUGAAACACACUACUACGGGAUCAUUGCAGGGUGGUUGACAGACUUUGAGGUUAUGUACACACUUGCGGUUUCUGUAAAACGUGUACAGAUACAAAACUUUUAAAGAGUAUCUUAUAUGAGAUAACGAAAAGAGUCGUUAUAUUACGCGGUUUUUAGGUUAAGUGUAAGUACUUGGUAGAUUCUAACUGUUUGUAUGAAGAGUGAUUUACUUAACGAAGAUUAUACAAAGAAAACAAUAGGGGUUGAGAACAAUAUUUGUAAAGGAUUAGUCUGCGGGGAGACAAUGUAAAGAUACCUUGGCGUAUAAUCAGUAUAUUUAGUCUGCAGGGAGAAGGGACAGUGUAAAGAUACCUUGGCGUAUAAUCAGUAUCUUUAGUCUGCAGGGAGAAGGGAGAAGGGACAAUGUAAAGAUACCUUGGCGUAUAAUCAGUAUAUUUAGGUUCUCUAAGGGUAGUGAAAGGAAGUGAACAUAUCUUCUGUAAAAAUUUACAAAUUAACUUGCUGAUUUGAAUAGACCUAGACCAGUAUAAUGAAGACCAUCUUUCUCACAUGAUAGGUCGAAGUUGAAUCAAUGGAGUUUUCGGUUGAUAAAGCAACAACAGAACAAAAACCAAAAGUUUUAAAACGGUUAUAUAUGGGGUGGAAAGUUUGGUAUUCAUUUUGUACUCAUUUGUAUUUUUGGACAACAAUUUCUACAUUCUUUUAACAUUCUUUAUUCUUUACGCCCAAUUACUUAUUUCAAUAAUUUAGCACCCAAUUAUUCUUUAAUCUAUAUGCCGCCUUUGUUCUCAUUUUUUUUUUUUUUUUUUUUAAUUUUUCUAAAUUAAUAUCUACUAUAUAAACGCCAUUAUACACUCUUAUGUGUGGUGAACAAGAGCAGUGUGCAGAGUCAUGAACAAUGAUUAACAGGGAAAAAUUAUGAACGCUUUUUGUGUAGCUUUAUUUGAAAAAAAAUGUUCUUUUAUUUCUAUCAAUAAAAUAUAGAUUUUUUGCAAAAAUGUUUACUUUUGUCAAAGAUAACUGUCCAUGACCGAAACGGCAAGAAUAACAAUUCACUGUGAUAUAUUUUGUGUAGAAAUAUAUUACAUGUACAUCUAUAAUUUAUAUAUUUCAUGUUAUAAAAAUUCAUCAAUCUAAUGAAAAAGUUAAUUUUAAUGGACAUUAACCGUGUUAACAUCAUGAUGAAAAAAAUCACAAAUUGACAAAAUAAAAUCGGCAGUCGAGCUAUAUUUGUUUUGAUAUAUUGUCGCAUGAUAUUACUAUAGACGAUUUCAAGUUGUUAAAAAUAAUUUAAAGGGGAAAACGUUUGAUAUGCAUGCCAAAUAUACAUGCAAAGGAGGAUCGAGUACUCUCAAAGGAUGAUCUUAACCUUGCAGCAAGCUGCAUGGUAUUAAACCUGUCAACGGUCAGAAAUCUGCCUGUCAUAUAAAAAAUAGGGAUAUAGUAUGCUUAUGGUAUAAUGCUUGCCAUUGAGACAACUAUUGGUAACCGCAAGGAUUUCAACGAUGAGCAGACAAUAAACUCAUACCUUUCUGUCCUUUAAGAGUUUGUAUUCAUGCGGCAUAUUUUUGAUAUUCUAUUUUUAAUUUAUAAUUGAUGUAUGUAUAUAUAUAUGAUUUGACAGGGGCACUAAGAGCUUGACGUGUUAUUUAGACACUUGUCUUAUUGUUGAUAUCAUUAGAGAUCGUAUAGACAACUAUUUGUGUCGAUUGUUUUUGCUAUUGUGAACCAUUUACAGCUUUAUUUCUUCAUAUAUGCAUUGAAUACAAUUAAAUGCAAGUAAAAAAAACCAAUAAACUCUUGUGUGUAACGCUUUCAAACGACAUAAAUUAAUGAAAACAAGAAUAAGAUAAAGGUGUAUAGUAUAUAUACACAAAGAUUUAGACAAAUUAAUUAGAACCUAAAAUAGUCAAAGUAAAGUGUGUCAAAGGUGAACAGGAUAUCUUAUGUACGUCCUACAUAAAAUCUAAAUUCAUACAUGUUUUUAAUUUAUGGAUAACAAAGUUAGGAUUGUAAAAUCAACAAAUAGAUUAGUAGAAAAAAACUCUACAUAUGUUGCAAAACUAAUUCUGUGAUUCGAAAGUGCAACACCUCAAUCAUAAAUGUGUGCAUGGUGCAUUAUAUGAAUGCGCAUUCAUAUAAUGCACAAACAAGUCUUUUAGGUUUCCUUUAUUUAAGUUUUUAAAUAUUUUGGGGGUCAAAACGAAAGUUAAACAAAGUCGAAGGAUUAUAUAUAAAGCUUCGUAAAUAUGCUUUUACAUUUGUUAACUCUUAUAUCUACAGCAGCUAAGCAGAUACAAGGACACUGAUAAACAUACACGUUGCUGUAAUAUAUGAACAUAUGUAACUGUACCACAGUAGACAUAUGGUGCUACCAAAGGAACAUGAGGUUUAAAAUUAUUGACAUAUGAUGAUAGUUCAGGUCUACUAUGAUCGCAUUGAUUCUAUAUUCCAAAACUUUGUAUACAUAAAUCGAAAAUGCAGCGUUGUGAUCCCAAUUUUUACAAAAAAAAAAAAAUGAAUUUAAAUCAUUACUAAAUUGAUAAAUAAUCACAAUAAAUAGAUAAAAAUAAUAUUAAUUAUUUGGAAAUGAAAAUAAUAAUUAAAAUGGGAAUGAUAAUAACAACAAACCGUAAAAUAAUAAUGUACAACUUUUAUUAUGAUAUAUAUUUGUUAAAAAUAAGGACAGUUGAACAACAAGCGGUCCAGAGCAAGGACUUUGUCUUAUUAUUUUUUUUUACACGAAGUAUAAUUUAUUUUUUAAAGGCAUUUCCUGUUUCCUUUGCUUGCUUCAAAGUGUUCUUCAUCAUAUCAAAACAAUUAAACAUUGGAAGCAGUGUAUAUGUCAUGUCUUUCUACUAUAAAAUGACAGCACAUAUAACGUGAACUACUUUCAAUAAUUAUUAAAGAAAUUGAAAACUUAUUGAAAAUAUAUAAUAAAGGGGGAGAGGACAUGUCCAAAGCGCCUGUUAGUUAAACUUAAAUUUUUGUAUCGCAUAUUCAUCAGUGCAACUAAAUAGAAAACAAGUUUGAGUUUGCAGAUUGAUCAAGUCUGAUAUUUAUUAGGCAGACAUGUUUAUGGGAAAUAUUGGGUUUUCCAGACUAUGUCAAUGGCUGACAGAUAGAGAUCGCGCAUAAUGUGUCUGUCUUUUCCGUGGUGGUUUGCAUUAAUAUAGUUCGACAAUAUAUCAGAACAAUUAUUGCUCGACUGCAGAUUUAAUUUAGUUAUAAUCGGAAAAAGGCUUUGAGUAUUCUUCGCCAUGAUUUUAAUAUAUUUUGUUCGGCAAUCUUUAUAGAGAUGCAUGAAUGUAAAAAGAUCUUAAAAAAGUGCUAUGUUGUAUUAGUCUUGUUCAUGAAAGUCGUUAUAAGAAGUCCGCCAAAAAUCAUGUCUUCCGCCUUGCAACAAUAAAUAAUAUAUUUCCGAUUUAUUUAAAUGUAGUGACGUAAAAAUAAUAAUUGACUGUUUUAAAAAUUUUGUAUUAUAUAUUGAUCUAUAUUCAUCUCAUAUUUGAUAAUUGCAAAAUUAACUUAUUCGAGUUAGUGGAUUUUUUGCGUUCUUAGCGUAAUAUUUUGUUAGGGUUCAUAAAGAUGUCUUCCUAAGCAAUAAGCAAUGUAUUGAUUUUUAAACCAAUGAAAAUAAUGGUAAAUUUCCCCCUGGCUGAUUUCAUUGGAAGUUAACCAAUGAAUUAGACGUUUAUAUUGAUAACGCCCGCCUACAAGUGUAUUCCAAACGAUACAGUUAGGAGAAUUUGAAACCUGUCUGGAAUUCAAAGUUAAGGUCAUUUAAAGUAACCAUCUUUCUAUAGUAUAAUACGGAACUUUAGGAACUCGAUUAUGUGUCAAAGCCAUUCUGUAGUAUGAAAUUUGUACAUUUGGCGUGAAAAUGGAUAUACUUUGCAAUUUUGAAAGACAUCACUAACUGAUCAAUCAGCAAAUCCUUCAGAUGAUGGCGGGAGAUAUUGGCGGUCGAUUUGUAAGGAUGCGGGGGCAUGUGAGGUCAGAUCGCUCUGUCCGUGGCCUGAAAUGACCGCUUAACGGAUCAAUAAUGUCAUACUCUGGUGGUCAAGCUUAACAGGUGAGACUAUUAUUUAAUCAACUGUAUUGUAAAGAAAUGAUUUAUGUAGAAAGAUAAAAAGAUCACCAUCUGUACGCGUCUGUUACAUUGAGCCUGGUAUUCUGUACGAUCCUUCAGUUAAAAACCCACUUUGCAUAAAAAAAUAUUAGAUCCAGGUAGAAAUAUCCUGAUUGUAAUAUUGUUGAAUUCAUUUUGUUAAAGUUAAAUUCCAAAAGUGGUGACAUCACUUUGCUUGCAACACAUCUGUAACACACGAGUUUUAAGAAAGUGCGAAAGAAAAUAAUCCACAUUAAAUGUUCAAAGAAACAGUUCCCUUGCAAUUUUUUUUGAUAUAUAUCAUCUAAUCCCUUAAAUUUUUCUAGAAAUAUCACAUUUCCGAAGUGUAAAACCACUUACAUUCAUAUUGUGUGUACAUUCAACUUAAUAAUGUCCGAUUGUUACAAAUGAAAAUCGUUUUCUGUUUACAAAACGUCAAAUGAUACCAACUGCACAAUGAUUACGUAACGCAACCUGCACACUUUUAUAAACUUUAUUGCGCAAUAUUCCUGCGGAAAGUGCAGCUUGUUGUAGUAGUGUGUUCAUGAUAUGAGGUCAUUUAACUCGGUGAACCGACCUGCCGACGUAAUAUGCAAUCCACUGCGCAUAACAAAUGCAUUGCAUAUUGAUACUGCAUGUAGAUUCACCAAAAGGUUUUUAUUUGUGAAGCGUUUUUGUCUGGUCACAAAAACUGGGAAUUUUGGACAUAUAAUCCCACAUUUGAUUAUAUGUUUUAGCCUAAACAUAAAUGGAAUUGAUUUUCUUUUCUACUUUUGGAAACACGUUUUUGUCAAGUCAGUGAUCAGUGAAGUGUAACACAAAAUCAAGGUGUAUUUUUUUUAAUUAAUAAGUAGAUAAGUUGGGACAAGGUUAAGUGUUUGAAUGAAAUCAAUAAAUCAGUGAAUACAGACAAAGUCAUGAGUGUGUAUGUCUAGAUUUAAACAGGUAGAACAUUUGCAUUCAGAUGAAUUCAAAAAUAGUUGUGUCAGUAUGGGGCUCUAUAGGGGACAAAUAGGAUGCUGUAUUUAUGCAUACUUGAUCAAUGACCACAUACCAUCUUGAAAAAGUAUUUGUUUAUUUAGAACUAGAAAGAAUUUUCCAGAAUCUUUCUUUUCAUGAAAAAAUACCUAUUUUUUAUCAAAAAAUAAAUAAAACAUUCUAUAACAAUUCAUUACAUUGAAUGUUAUUUUAAAAGGGGGCAAUUAUUUUCACAUGUUUUAAUAUAUAUGGUAUACUUUCAAAAUAAGUUUACAUGAUUUGAUAUUCAUUAUAUAUAUAUAUAUAUAUAUAUAUAUAUAUAUACAUUCAAUGAAGGAUUUCUAGAAGAUUCUGAAACAUAUAAUUUUCACAACCAACAGAAAAUGUUCAGUGUUCAGUGUUUUGUUUUUACUUAAUUAAAGGUAUUAUUAAAAGGUAUUAAUUUUGAAUCAGUAAUAGCUUGUUCAAUUUUUUCAACCAGCAGUGCUGAUAGUUUUGUUUAAUGACAUGAAUAUUGAACUGAAAAGACUCCAUAUAGUGAAUGUCAUACUUCUGGAACUUUGUUAUUACCUGAAGUGUUUAUAUUAUUAAAGAUCAUUCUUUUGUUUAUAUGGAGUAUGAUUUGAGAGUUUUCUGUGUGUGUGUGUGUGUGUGGAAAAAAGGGGGGUAUUCUGGCUCCUAUGAAUAUGUUUCUGGUGAUAGAUUUAUAGGAAUUUCUGUACAGGUGAUUUUCAGUAAACUACCUCUGAUUAAUGCUACACCUAUAUACACAUUUUAAAUUGAUAAGAACAAUUAACCUGGUUCUUGCUUUCCUAUACCUGCCUGUAAUUUCCAUGCCUUUCCCAAAACAUUUUAUUGACAAUUUCAGUCAAACAGUGAACAUUCCAGACAUUUUUGGUUAAGCAGCUCCUUUCCUUGUAUACUUGUGUAAAAUAUUAAAAAAAAAUAAAAAAAUGUUUACCUACCUAUUCUAUUUUUUUCCAUCAAGAAGACUGGAAAAAGGUAUAUAUAUAUAUAUAUAUAUAUAUAUAUAUAUAUAUAUAUAAUAUGGUAUAUAUAUAUAUAUAUAUAUACAACUUAUGUGUUAUGUAUGAUAUGUUGAACCUUAUAGGGUUUAUAGGAAAGUGAACCGAAGUUUAAAUAUUGAAUUCUUAAUACCAAAAUUGAAACACAUUGAAUUAUUAAUACACAUUGACCUAUCAAUAACAUUAGCAAUUUGACUUUUUGCUAUCAAAUCUAAACAAGCAUUGACAGGUGACUGCUAUGGACAUGUUUAUGUCUAUUUUUCAGGCCUAGGGACAUGUUUAAUUUAUAUCUUUUUUGUUUUUCUUUGGGAAUGUUUAGUUUGUCUUGCUUGAUUCUCCUUGGGACAUGUUUUGUUUAUGUCUUGCUUGUUUUUCUUUGGGACAUGUUUAGUUUGUCUUGCUUGUUUGUCUGUGGGACAUGUUCAGUUUAUGUAUCUUGUUUGUCCCUAGGAAAUGUUUAGUUCAUGUCUUUUUUGUGAUGUUUAGUUUAUGUCUUGUUUGUUUGUCCUUGAGACAUGUUCUUAUGUCUUGUUGGUUUAUCUUUGGGACAUGUUUAGUUUAUGUCUUGUUUGUUUGUCUUUGGGACAUGUUUUAUUUUUAUUUUGUUUCUUUGUCUUUUGGACAUGUUGAGUUUAUGGAUUGUUUGUUUGUCUUUGAGACAUGUUUAGUUUAUAUCUGUUUGUUUGUCAUUGGGACAUAUUUAUAUAAUAUAAACAAUAAACAUGUUCCAAGGACAAACAAACAGACACAAACAUGUCCUAAGGACAUACAAAUAAACAUAAACAUGUCCCAGAGACAAACAAACAGACAUAAACAUGUCCUAAGGACAUACACAUAAACAUAAACAUGUUCCAAGGACAAACACAUAGACACAAACAUGUCCUAGGCUAAGGACAUACAAAUAAACAAACAUGUCCUAGAAACAAACAAAUAGACACAAACAUGUCCUAAGGACAUACACAUAAACAUAAACAUGUCCCAGAGACAAACAAACAGACACAAACAUGUCCUAAGGACAUACAAAUAAACAAACAUGUCCUAGAGACAAACAAAUAGACACAAACAUGUUCCAAGGACAAACACAUAGACACAAACAUGUCCUAAGGACAUACAAAUAAACAUAAACAUGUCCCAGAGACAAACAAACAGACACAAACAUGUCCUAAGGACGUACACAUAAACAUAAACAUGUCCCAGAGACAAACAAACAGACACAAACAUGUCCUAAGGACAUACAAAUAAACAUAAACAUGUCCCAGAGACGUCCCAGAGACAUGUAAAAAUCGAUUUUAAAUAUACAAAACUUGUAGAAUUUUAACCCCCCACCCCCAAACAAUUUGAUUUAAGUUUUUUAUCCUACUUCGAUCUUUUGAUGUCUUCCCUAAGCAGGGGUUGAAACUUGACAACUUUAGAGUUGACACUCUGCUAGUGAUAACUGAAGAUAAACCUUGUUCAAAGCCCCUCCCCCCUUUGACAUGUUUAAAAUAUUGCAUAGCUGUUCAAAACAAGCAGCUAACAUCGCGUGUAGAUAGAAGAGAUAAUAACAGGUUAUGAUUAUGAUUCUGAUGCACAAGGAAAUUGGAUUUUUUUUCUUGAUUAGCUGGCCUCUUUAUGAUCCAUCUUUAAACUGGUUAAGAGUUAAAAAGAGAAAAGGAUCAAUGAGUAGCAUGUUGAAAACUAUUAUAGAAAAGAUUUAAAUGUUGAUUUAAGUCUUUUAUAGCUUAUCCUUAUACGUUAUACUCCUUUUUGAAGGCCAUAUAGUAAUAAAUUAGCUUACAUUAUUUUGUAAAUGUACAUGUAGAUAAAUCAAAAAGCAGUUUUUUGUAUACUGUAGAUUUAUUAUUAUUUUUUGGCAUCACCAGUCAUUGGUCUUGUGAUAGGGUGUUGUGGAAGAGAAAGUUGAUACAUAUGUACAUAGGUCAGUCUUACAAUUUGUAUUAAGUUCUACUUCUCUAAGCACACAACAUUUAGGCAUAGCAAAAACAUGUGACUUUUUACUUGGAAACAACCCUAAUAAUUAAAAGCAUGGCUUAGUCUGGCAGUCUGGUAGGCUUGAAUCUUAGUAUAAUGAUAUCACUUGUCUGAAUGUCCUCAUCUUCAUGCACUGGUAAUAUUUGACACUGGACAUAAAGCAAUCAAUCUCCCUCUCUAUAUCUAUGUUGACUAUAAAUACACCUAAUGUAAGUUAAGUUUGGGUUGAUAAGGCCAUUGAAAUAAAUGUAAUAAUAAAAAAAUAUAUCUCUUCAUUAUUUAAGGCCAAUUAAAAUUAAUUGAUAGAUUUUCAUCCCCGCCUGCCCCUCUGAAUCGCCCUGCCCCGAUUUUUUUUAUUUUAAAAAAAAUAUGAUUUCCGGAUUUUGUUCAAGUCCGUUACCGGGAACCAUUGAUAAGUUUGUUUCAUUCAAAACUUCCUGUUUCAAAUUUCGUAUUUUUAUUUCUUCGAGUAAUCUAACGAAAAUGAUUAAGUCAACAUAUUCUGCUGCACUAUGAUGACAGCAUCAUCUACCGAGAAUAGAGAUUGAUUACAAGAAGGGCAAGAAAUAUUCGAGUUACAAUAAAAUGUUUUGUCCAUGAAAGCAAAUUGCGGUAGUCACAAGUGAUUCAAAAAACAUGUUUUUCUUUUAUUUAUACAAUGACUUUGUGUUAGGAAAUUUGGACUGUGAAUGAUAUCCAAAGUGCAAGAAUUGUAGAACAAAUUGGUUAAAAAAACAUGACUGGAUUAAAGAAAUUGACACAAGCACGAACUUGUUAGAUUUAUGACCAUAUAUUGAGCAAAAAAAAAAGUCGACAAACACGCAUUUUAAUAACAAGCCUUUAGAUUUACCCAUGGCUGUCGUUUUUUGUUGACAAACAGCAAACACCUUCUGUGACUGUCCCAAUACCCUCAAUUUAGUCAUUAAACAACAACUUCUAUUUGAUUAAGUUCAUGUUUUACAUCAUAAUUACUUUCAACACUGAGUUAACAUUUUAUUCUGUACUCAUAAUACUUGUGUUGCAUACCAUUGUACCAAUACAUUUUAUGGGGACUACAAACCAUUGCUUAGAAAGCAAAAUAAAUUUGUCCAACUGAAGAGAGCAUUUCUCUUCUUUUUGAUGUAUACCAUGAAUAGGUUUCUAAAGUGGCAAUUACAUGUAUAACAGUGGUUGCCAAUCAGAGAUUUUUAUUUAAGAGUUUGAAAAAUUAUGUAUGAUUCCUUAUACGGCAUGUAUUUACAUAAUAUAAGCUUGUUUUUCACCUGCUUAUACCCCGCGGUAUGAAGAACUUGUGACGAUGGUUUCAUAUGAAAUAAAAUUUAAAAAAUAAAAUCCUCCCACCCUCCCCAUUUUUUUUCAAAAAUGUGGAUGAAAAUCUACUUAUUAUUUUUAGUUGGCCUAAGUAUAGACAUUAUUUAUUUGCAUAAACACAAAUUGUAUGAUACACAAGUCAAACAGACUUAAUCAGUCUUGUCCAUACAAUUAUAUAAGUGUCAAUGGAAUUCCCAAGCUUCCAUAUCUAUUUUUGUUGGCUUGAAAUUGCUUACUUUAAAGUUUUUAAUGACACUUUGGUAAUGAAUAAUAACAAAAUUGCAGGUCUCAACAUUUACUAAGGGUAAAAAAUUAAGGAAAAAAGAAAUCUUGCCUAUCUACAAUAGUUUUCAUAGUCAGAAACGCAAAACCCACUUAUAUUUUUUUUUGCCUGUGUGAACAUUUUGUUAUUGACUAGUCAAUUUUUAAACUUAUUCACACACUUAAGGUUUUCCUAAAAUCCAUUCAUCUACCUGAAUACACUAGUUCUAUGACUAUACAAACAAGUUUUUAAAACCCUUAACUGCAGUGUUUUAUACUAAACUACAGGACAUACAUUCAGUGUUUAAUUCUGCAAAUUCAAUUGCCAGAGAUUAAAAAAAAUAAUUUUAGGGCCACUUUGACCCAAAAUCUUGCAUGUACAUGUAUAUUUUCCUUCCAUGUUGAUCUUCAUUUUUGUCAAACCCAAUCAAGACAACUUGAUAAAUGUGCUGUCUGUUUUGUUCGCCAUUGUAUGAUAUGUUUAUCUAAUAUAUUUGAAGUCUGACACCAGAUCAAUCUAAGAACUGCAGUUGUUCAAAAUUAGAUUUAUUGUAGAGUUUUGUCUAGAAGUCUAUUUCUGCUAGUACCACAGCAUGUCCUUUAAAUAUUGUCCAUUACAGCAGCAAACCUGACCAGACUCCUGAAGUCAAACUUACACCACAAAAAUUCAUAGAAAUCUAUAAAAAAAAUAAAAUAAAUAUUUGGAAAAUAGUUCCAAGACAGCAGCCCUUCAACUUUAAAACAGUAACAAAUUAAAAGAGGUAUGGUCAGAUCAUCUGUUUUCCUAUGUCAUAUGAAUUUGUACUAUGCAUGCUUUUCGAUGCAUUCUUAAUAGUACCAAAACCCAUGAGACAAGGAUAGAUGUUAAGUAUUUAUCUAAGGACAGGUACUUACAGUACAUUGUUUUCAGUGGUAGACAAACUGUGAGUGGGAGAUACACACCGAUGGCUCUUUUGGGAUCCAAUACAUGCAAAAGAAUCAUUUCAACAUGGACAAGAUUAUAUUACCAUGUAUAAAUGGUUGCAGUGCACAUAUAUAGGUUACUGCCUUUAAUUGUAUGUAUAUAUAGAAUUGUAACUUUUAGAAUGGGGUUGAUUGAUUACAUGUAGCUUAGUUUAUAUUUAGAAUUGUCUUUAUUUUCAAUAAACUCUCUCAUUUUGUAGCUUUAUUUUUCCUCAUGUUGAAGAUUUAUUUCUCAGCUGUUGUCACUCUUAUUGACAUUUUUUUUUAAAGAAAGAUUUCAAUAAGGUAUAUAACAUUAAAACAAUCCAUCAAUGUACUGACUGGGUAACAAUGACAUCUUCUUAUUACUCUUUAGAUACAUGUGUACUCCCAACAUUUUAUCUAGGAUUCAGUCUAUUUUAAAGACAGUUCAAAAUACAAGAUUGCUUUUUAGAGAAAUAUGUUCAUCCCUGGACUUCUGUCCAGCUAUAAAGUUGUCUCCCUUUUGACUGUGCCAGCUUCAUAGAUACUCAGCCAUGUCAGAAUGGUGUGUGUGUGUGUGGGGGGGGGGGGGCAAGGAGGCAGGUGCUUAACAACCUAAUGUCAUGUGAAGGGAGAGUGCCACCCUCUUUGUAUUUUUAAUACCCAUUACAACUUCUCUCCAAGGGUCCUUUAAUACAUAUAGGUGGCUUGUUGCAAUGCAAAAUUUUAGUUUUCAAAUGCAGUUCCUGUUCAAACUUUCAAUGCAAUCUUUUAGGAAUUGGGAACUCAUAUGUCAAGGAUUAAUACAAAAUCUUCUAACUUUAGUGUGAUGCAUUUAUAAACUAUUAGGAAUUAAUCAAGUAAUUAUCAAAGUCAUUCAAUACAAUAAUAUUCAGUGACAGUGUCAGUCAGUAAUAGUAGAUGUACUUGUAGAUCUAUAUAGUAACUAUGCAUACUGUAUUGUUUAUUAUAUUUGUAAAAGAAUAAUAUUACAAUGGUAUUAUAUUAUGCUCCUUGUGAGCCCAUUUUAUGGAAAUAAAGCAUCUUCUUCUUCAUCUUCUUCUUAUAGUAACAGUUGGACCAUGUACAACUCUUUAAUAUUGAAGUCAUUCACUCGACAGUAUAACUGAUAAUAUUACUAGCAAAUUAUUAAAAUUAAAGCUAGCACAUUGAACCAGUUCUUGUACUUUUGAUUCCUACACACUUUUUUGGUUUCUAGUUAAGAUAUUUUACAUCAAGACAAUCACUUGAAAGACAAUAUGAAGUAUUAACAUUUGAUGUCAGCUUUUUGAAACAAAUGGAAAAAAAAUGAGACUGUAUUUAGUGCCUAUAGCAGUUUGAAGACCUGAAAUCUCAUUAGAACAUGUCUAUAGAGUAGCAAGCUAUAAUUGUGACUGUCAUUACCAGACAUCUGCAGGUGAUGCAGUCUUAUAGACAAGUACCAAUUAAACUUCUUACAAUCCAUCACUAUUCAUAGCUUUGUCACAUUUUCUGCACUACUGAACUAAGCAGUAAUUGGACAGAUCUUGCAUCAAAGGAUUACAUUGUUCAUUAUUUGAUCGUUGUGAAAGUUACUUGAGUGUUUAUGCAAACAUUGGCAAAGAUGAUCAUAUGCUUUUUUGAUGUCCUAUGCCAUUAGUCUGAUUAAAGAUUAUCUGUACCUUUUCAACCAUACAAUAGGAUAUUCAUUGUCCUGUGAAUUAAUUUCUUUGUAUUAUGUAAAUUUACAGUGUUAUAGGGAACAAAGAAUUUUCAUAUUGAAUUUCUAAUCAAAAAGUAGAAAUUCGGAAAGUAAUGUAUAAAUAAAGAAACUUAACCCCUGUGAGGAGACCCAAGGGUAUAGAAAUUGGCUUAUGGUGCAUGUUACUGUUAUGAAUAGUAGGAGAGUUCCAGUCUGAACACAAAAAGACCCCUUAAGCCACAGGGCUGAUUGGAGUUUAUACCUACAGGCUUUCUAGAUAUCAUAUCUUAAAAAUACUUGAAAGGUUGGAUAGAUAGGUGAGUGUUGUGUUUUUCUUGCUGUUAGAUGCUGAUGCAGUCGUUUAUAAAGGAUGCUACAAUUAUGGAAUGAAGAGAUAGAUCUUUUGUCUUUGCCAAUGUCAAAAAGAUGUUACAGUGAUGGGAUGCAGAGAUCUUGUGUAUACCAUUAUGUUGAAAAUAAUGUUGUAAAGACUGGAGCAGAUACAGGUCUUGUGGUUACCCUGAUGCCAAAAGGCUGUUGCAGGUGAAUCUUUUGGUCUUAGACUACCCUGAUGUAAAAAAUAAUGUUGCAAAGAUUGUGAGGAGAGAUUGAUCUUGUGACUACCCUGAUGUCAACAGAAUAUUGAAAAGAUUGGAAGGAGAAAUUGGUUUUGUGGCUACCCUAAUGUUAAAAGAUAUUGCAAAAGUUGAAAGGAUAGAUUAAUCUUGUUGCUACCCUGAUGCCAAACAGAUUUUGCUAAGAUUUGAAGGAGAAAAGGAUUUUGGGUACCCUGAUGUCAAAAGGAUGCUGCAAAGAUUUAUAAUAAAGGAUAAAUGGAUCUUGUGGCCACCCUGAUGUUAAAAGGAUGUUGACAAGAUUUGAUUUAGAGAGAUGGACCUUGUGGCUUCCCUGAUGCAAAAUGAAUGUUGCAAAGCCAAAGGUCGAAAAGAGGAAUGGAUAUUUUGGACACAUGCUGACAUUAAAAAGGCUCUUACAAAGAUUGGAAGGAGAAAAAGGUAAUCAUAAAGCUAUUCUGAUGUUGCAAAGAUAAGAAGGAGAGUCGGAUGAUUUGUCUACCCUAAUGUUGAAAAGAUGUUGAAAAUAUUGUAGGGAGCGAUGGAUCUUGAGGCUACUCUUGUCAGUUGACAAAAGUAAAGGCAACAGUAGUAUACCAGUGUUCAAAAGGAUGAAUGUUUGGAAGGCACAAUGGAUCUUGUGGCUUCUCUUAUAUCAAAGAGAUGUUGCAAAGUUUAGAAGGAGCAAUUGAUAUUUGGCUACCCUGAUGUCAAAAGGUUGUUGCAAAGAUUUGAAAUGUAGAUAGAUAAUUUGUCUACUCUGUUGCCAAAAGGAUGUUGCCAUGCUUGGAAGGAGAGUCAGAUGCUGUGUCUACCCUGAUGUCAAAAGUAUGUUGAAUAGAUUUGAAAAAGAGAUGAAUCUUGUGGCUAUCCUGAUCAUAAUUUCACAGUAGUUUUUAAAAGAGGGCAUUGUUGAUGUAGAGUUAUAUUGAUCACAUGAGAGAGAGAGAGAGAGAGAGAGAGAGAGAGAGAGAGAGAGAAAGUAGUUGAUCUAGGUCUUAUAUUGAUAACUUAUCUCUUGUAUAUUAUGAUUCAGUAGUGGAUAGACAUCAAUGGCUUAUGAGAAUGCUUUGAUUAGUUAGGGGAAUAUAAUAAUCUGUAACAAUUUAUGACAUGCCUGAAGAGCUAUUAUGUUGAUGAUUAUUUUUAUGUAAAAAAAUCUGUUAUAAAAUCAGUUAUGACUGUAGUAUUGCAUAUUCAGAGUGUAAAAGUUAAAGCUAUUGUGUAAGAUAAUAUUUUUCUCAAUUCAUGUCAUAAUUUAAGAAAACACAUAAAAAUAUAUUAAAGACACUAUAUGCAAUGAUUGACAAUUUUGGGUAUGCUUUUCAAAGUGAAGGUCAUCUGGACCUUGGGGUGAAUAUUUUUUUAGCCAGGGCAAUCAUAUGAAUUUCUUGUCUUCUUUUUAUAAAGUUGAUAAAUACACUACAGAAAACUGACAUCUGUAUAGAGAAUAGGUUCACCAGCCUACUUGGAUUGUGGUUUUCUUCUUCUAAAUGAAAAAUGUAAACAAAAGAAAACACAAAUCAGCAAUGAAAAUAAAUGAUUUUAACAGGUUGAUGUUUUCUCUUUGUUUAGUACCUCACCACAUAAUUACAUAAAACAGAGAUAACACAUAUAAUUUGAUGGAGUUAACCUACUGCGUUAUAACUUUGGAUCGCAAACCACAGUGAUAGACUAAACACAUUUAUCUCAAGUGCACACUACAUAGACACAAGUCUAGCCAUACACAUUUUCCAUUCAUUGUUUCGGAAAUGUAUGUAUUAAGGGUAAACAUUUUAUAAAUGUACUUGUACUGUACAUGUUCAUCAGAAUUCUGCGUGAUCAGUAGAUAUCCAAUUAAAAAACUCUUUUGUAGAUUUUUUCAUUUAAUUUUUUUUUCAUACUCCUAAAUAAAUGCCUAAAGUUCAUGUUAUGAUGAUCCUUUUGUGUGCUGCCUAGCCUCAUUUUUAUGUUGACAUACAAUGGAAUAUCCCUCAAUACUUCUGAUUAUGAAAUGGUGAAUCAAUACAACACUAGGACCCCUCCUUCAGAUGCAGAUAUAGCAUUUUGAAAAGGGGGCUCACAAACAAGGCACCGCUUGGAGGGGGACUGUAACCUUGUAUGUAUCUCCAUAAAGUGAGGCCUGGUUUAACCUGUAGAAUCCAUAGGCGGAUCCAGGGGGGCCUGGGGGCCUGGGCCCCCCCUUUUGUGGGAAAAAUUUGGUUGAUUAUAUAGGGAAUCACUGAUGCAUGACUGGAGUGGGCCCCCCUUAGGAAAAGUUCUGGAUCUGCCACUGGAAUCCUACCCAUACCUAAGCAUCAUGCAUGUUCAGUUGAUUUGUUCACCUUUUAACUUCAGUCAUAGUGUAAAAGUCAGCAUGACUCUUUAGUCCUUAAUGUCAUAAAAAAGUCGCUAGAGAAAAUGAAUGUUUAUGUUGGAAAAAUGACAAACAAUUCCUGGACAGAAAUUAAUGCUUCAAUAGGGCAUUCAAAGUAACAAUAAAUAAAUAUAAGAUAUUGUACAGUAAUUCAGUGGACAGCAUUUUAUGUCUAGAUAAUGCUCACUGUUGUGUGGCAAAACAUGACAUGUCUUUAGGUUUAAAUUCAAUUAUCAAAUAAUUUACAAAAGUAAUAUCAAAAAUGUCCAGAACAAAAUAGAGGAAACUUGGUCCCUCUUUUUUUCUAUGUGGCAACCAAAGUCCCAAAUAUCAGCAACAGUUGCAAUAGUAUACAGUACAUGUACAUGAAAUAUAGCUUUCAUUGAGGAACAUUUUAAAAAUGUGUUGUGACCACUGCAAGAAGGGAAAUCAAGUUUUAAACUAGUAAUCAUGAAUUUUGCAAAGGACUGGGUGUCAAUAUCUCAUCAUUGGUAUCUUUAGAUCAAACCUAUAAAACUUAAAAACACCUGGAGUCUUAUUAUAAAGACAGAUGUUAUUAAAAAGAUAAUUGCAUAAAAUUAUGUAUAAAAUCAAUGAUAAACCUUCUUCGCAUGUACUUCAGCCUGGCAAAUGUACUUCAGAAGCAAACCACAAAAAUGUAUGGGUACCAGAGGUAUAGUAAUGUGUUCAACAGAUUAUCUUUUGUGGUUAAAAAGAUUAAAAAGGAAAAAUAUACUGUUAUUUACCAUUAUACAUUUAUCAAAGACAGUUUUAUUGAAAUAUCAUUAUUUUUGUCAAAGUGGUUAAGAAUUUUGCCAUUAAAACAUAUGUGUUGGUUUGUAUGAUGUCUGUGUUAAGAGAAUCUAAGGUCAUUUACCUGUGUGAGGACACAAAGGUCACUGACAUGUGUUUAAUGGUUUCUAAGGUCAAAGUGACAAACAGAUGGACAUUGGAUAUGAUUAAUGUGGUCAGUCAAGGACAUCUUAACCAUUAUGACCAGCUGUGUUUAGUCUGGUAUUUCCAGGUCAUGUUAACACAACUGGUCAUCUAAGGACACUUCCUUCACAAUAAAGGAGAUGAAAUCUAAUGAUUUACAGCUUAUAUUGAAUAACUGACUAGUCAAGGACUUGUUACAUAUUAUAAUUCUUAAUACUUAAUGACAAGAAAUAAGAUCAAAUCUAAUGACUUAAAGAUUGUAGAAUAGUUGACUUGUCAAGGACAUUUUAAUGGUACAUGUUAUAAUUCUGUAUGUACUACAAAAGUCUACAUUAAAACCAUGACUAAUACACAUUAUGUGUGUUUUGUGACAUGUGUUAGUUACAAAUUUUUGAGCAAGGCUGUGGCUGAAUAGAAUUUUAAAUAAUGUAUUGAUCACUGUAUCCUACUAGAGUGCACACCUGGCUUUUUGGUUAUGUUAUUUAAAUUUUCAAUUGGAUGUUUUUUAAGUUAACUUUAUGGUACCCGGUUUUUAAAGGUAUUUGAAAGCUAUGCACCAUUAACUUAGAGUAGUGUGACCCAGACAGUGUGACCUUCAAAUCAAGGCUGGUGUUUCCCUCUAAAAGAUAAGAGAGAAGUUUUACCUAUGACAUAUAUUGAUAAAGUUUGCACAAGUCUGGCAUAAUAAGUGUGUGUCUAGGUUUGGUGUAUUUUUGGAAACCUUAUGGCAUGUAUAUAAUUUCUGCAGCUGUUACAAUAACCAUUAGUUUUAUAUUGUGAGGUAGAAUAUUUAAAAUCAAAUAAUGUGUGGGAGAAAAAGAAAUAAGAAAUGAAUUUUUCAAUAAGACCAGGUGUACAGAUUUAUAUUAUCUUCUUUUGAAUGAACAUCUUAAAGAAAUCCUUUGUUUCUUUUUUUUUUUAAAUUCACAAUUACAAGCAUAAAUUUUAUAUUUGAAUGAAACUUGAGAUAGCAAUGAUGUCAACAGUAAUUUUUUUAUGCAGUAAAAUUAAAUUUGUUGUACUCUUACAUUCAUAUAUUAAACUAGGCAGACAAUUCCAAAGAGAGAAUUAAAACUCAUAAGUUGAAUGGAGUCUGAUCAUGGCAAAAAAGUUCAGGAAAAAAACAUAAUAGGUAAAAAAGGGGGAGUUUUCUCGUUAGUUUGAAAGAUAUGGAAAUUUGACCAUUUCCUCUUGAUACCUGAUUUCAGAUUUGAAAAAAAAUCUAUUGAAAUACACCAGUUGAUAUGUUGAAAAUUGAUUGCAUAGGAAAUUUACUGUAUUAAAUAUACUUCAAAAUGUGGAAAAAAAGACAAGAAAAAAAAAAAUCUGAAAAAUCCUGAUAUUAUGAUGAAAGACCCAUUAUAGCAUUUAAUAAUGUGAUUAAAUUCUGAUGUAUAAUUUCACUUUCUAUCAUGGUAUUAUUUAGGAAAUAAGUUUUUUUGUAAAGUGGAAGUUAAUUUUGUACUUGGGAUGAUAAUUUACAGUACUUGUGUCAAUUUGAUAAAUUACAGCAGCUUAAUUUGUAAUGCUUUAGAUAAUGAACUGGAUGUCUUUAAUAUAAAUUAGUUCUAGGAAUUUGACAUAAAUCUAGUUAUUCAGGAUUUUUUUAAAAGAGAAAAUAAAUUUUUAAAUUUGUACCACCAGUGAUUUAGAACAAAUUUGCAGUCUGAUAUUAAAUCAAUUGUCUGCAAUUUGUAGAGCAGAGGAAAAAAAGGAUAUGAAAUAUAGUUCUGCAAGACCCAUUGGGGAAAGAAAUCAGUCAUUUUGUGUACAAAUCAUAUCUGAAAAUUUGUCAGGUUUUCUUUCACAUAUACUCCAUAAGAAAUUGUUCAGGUUGACAGCCCUCAUUUUAAGUAGUUUAAUAUGCAUAUAACCAGAGAAAAUCUUUUUUGAGUUGACCUUUUUAAUAUUUUGCAAUGAAAGUUGUGUGUCAAGAAACAGAUUUGAUUUAGAAAAACUUAAAAAAAAAAGAAAAGAAAAACUUCAAUUAAAAAAAAAUUGUAUCAACUAACCGAAAUCUGUUUCUUUAGCUUUAAAAAUAAUCCGUUGAGGUCAGCAAAAAAUAAAAAAGUUUUUAUUUUUUUAUUUUCAGAAAAGAAGCUUGUUAACCUUGCUAAUGCAUUCUGUACAGAUAAAAGACAAGUCGAGGCAGUUAAGGAAAUGAAUUUCACACAAUUUGGUUUGAAUUACAUUUGUACACAUCUUUCCCUCAUUAAUCUCUGUGUUGGCAUUGAUAAAGAAUGAAAUGUCUUACAAAAUAAUGUAUGUAGUUCCAAUUUCAUGAUUAGCCCUUAACUUAAAGUGACAUUAUAGAUAUCAUAUCUAAUUACAAG